GUGCAGCUGUCUGGGAGCCCAGGAAGUCACACCCGUCUCGCGCACUGAGCUGAAGCUCCAGCCCACGUGGCGAAUAGCGAACCCCCCCGGCGCUGAAGGGAGUGCCUAGCCGGGCCCCUCCUCCAAACCAGGGUACUUGGACUAGAUGGCAGUUCUGUGUUGCAUGGCGUAUUUGAGCAUGACAAGAUGCCAGUGAGGUGUGGAGAAGCAGAGGAAUGAAAAGUGUCCUGUGCAUCCAGAAGACACACUGCCUCUCACUUUUCAUAAUGCUGGAUGGAACUGUGUGGCUAAUACAUAUUCAUAAGUCCAAGGCGAAUGUCUUAGAUAAAUGAACAAACAUCACAGCAUUGCUUGCUGGGCGGCUCGGCUAAUGCUUCAGAAUUAGUAAUGUGUUAUUUACAGAAGUGAAAUAUUUGCUUCCCUUGGCACCUUCUCCUACAUGUAAAUUACUGGCCCAUUUUAAAUUUUUGUGUGUAUAUAACUUUAACUAUUUUUGGUAGUUAAAUAUGAUCCAGCAAUAUUUUAGUUUUAUAAGAUAUGAAUCUUAAAAAUUUUUAUUUUCUCAAAUGGAAAUCUUCACAUUGCAGAGAUAAUGACUUUGAAGUAGAUUUCCUGCACCACCCCCCAAGGCCCCUUCUUAUAUCCAUGUAUUUACUUGUAUUCCCACCAAUGAGGAGCACUUACCCAUGGGAUGCUAAUACUUUUUAAAACAAAUGGUUCUAUUUUCAGGACUUCACAGGCAAUGAGGCAACCUAUCUGUUAAUUGAGGAGGAGCUGACACUAUUAAAUUUGGUUCUAUAUGGAAGUGAUGAAAUAGAAAAACCAUUGCUUGUUCUUCUGAAGAAAUUUCUAUUUAUGAAUUAAGGAAGUCAACACUCUUUACUUAGGUGUGGGGCUUUGUAAGAUGGACCCCCAUAAUGCUGGGAUUUUAACUAGCAUGCAUCUGUGCAGGUAAACACUGCUGCUCUAAGUUCAUGAGUGUAACAGUCAUGUUACCCCUAGAACAUGACACUCCUCCCUGUUGUCAAACUCUCACACCUUUUCUGUCUCCUUCCUAUGAUGUUUCCUGCAUACUGAAGGAGGAAUGCCGAUAUAGACAUUGAAUCCAUGAUUGAGCAUUCUUCACCACUUAGUCUGCAACUCUUGGCCAAUUAUAAAUCUGUGUAUUGAUCACCACACACCUCAAAGAGAAUCUUCUCUUGCCGAGGCCAAGAGAAGAUUACCCUUUAAAACAGUUUAAUAAAAACUUUCAGUGACACAGGUUAAUUCAAGAAGAAAUUCCAUGGGAAUUUCAGAGAAAAGAUGGAAAAAUCCAGAAAAUCCAACCGAGAAGCUCAGUAAUGCUUAGGAUUCAAGCCAUAGCUAAUGGGUUUAAUAUCCCAGAAACUGUUUCCUGUAUAAUAAGGCAACAUUAUUCUUUUUCUUUCUUUCUUUGGCUUUUUUUUUCCUUAUGAAAAUGGACUCUGGUUUAUUUGCUAUCGGGAGCACACAAAAGUCCUUUGAAUGGCCGGACUGUUCCGUUUCUCUCCAUGUCCCCUUUCUCUCACAGGAGUCUUGCUUUCCCCCUUUCUGGCCCCACACAUACUUUCCUUAAAACAAACAUCCUUGUUUUAAAAGCAAAGAAGACUCUGCUCUCCAUUCUUGUUUGACUUCCCACACAUUGCUGUUAACGAUUCCCCAAACACAGAUGGAAGACAGGCUUGGACUCUUCCACUGUAAGCUAUUUCACAAGAUCUCUGCCCUUUAAAUAUUUUGAUUUGUUCUUCUGGAAAGAAACUUUCCCUGUCAGCUCACCCCCUCCUUCCCUGCUCCCCACGUGCUCACCACCACUAAGAAUUGGUUAUUUGUGAAUGUUACCAUUUUGUUAGUUUCAUCCUUUUAGCGAUACAGGGCUAAAAACAAACACUAAUCUUGCAUUCAAGAUUACUAUGUGCAUCUAGGAUGCACCCAUAGAAAAGAAACAUUAUUACAUUAGUUAAUUAUCAUUCAUAAUUUUCUGUUUUACCAGUGAGCUAAGAAAGGCAUGGCCAACAUUCUCAGUGGACUGGGGAAAUUUUGGACUGCACUUUGUCCUUGUUCCUGGAGUUUAAGACCACUGGCUUUUCAUGCCGUCAGAAGUGAUGUAGAUGUAGAGUUUUCCUUUUCAAAGGGAUGGGCUUCACCUUGUCACAACCACUAUUGCCAGCAUGAAAUAUUAUAAAAAGCUGUUGAGCAUAAUUCCAAAAUAAUCUAAUGCGUUUACUUUGAAAAGGUUUAGUAUAGAACAAAAAGUAUAUGGUUCAGAGAUUACUCAGAAAUGCAAAUGCCUGAGAACUUGCCCUUGGAUCUGCUGUCAUGUCCUUAUCUCAACCAUGAUCUUAACUUUAUCUUAAACCAGAAUCAACUGUAUACUUCUUCUAAUGCCAAUAUUUAUUAUCGCGUGAUUUUUUCAGCAUUGCUACUUGCUUGAAAAACUUGAGGCACCUCUAAUUUAAGAACAUUCAUUGAACCAAAUUGCCUAAUCUAAGAGAAACACAUUUUUUUCUUUCCCUCCCUUCCUCACUCCCUUCCUUUCUUAAAAACAUAUGCUUGGAAGUAAAAAUAUAUAUCAUUAAAAUUUCAAACAACUUUGAAGAUUUCAUAUUGAUACAUGAUGCAUACUGUCCUAUACCUUGAGAUUAGAACACAUCUAAGAAUAAAUUUAAACUGAUUUUAAUGUUUCUAUGCUUCUUGUAAUUUAUAGAUGAUAAAGUUCUGGCUAUGUAUAAUACAUAUUUCUCGAUAUUUAUAUGUAUGUGUGUCAAAGGAACAUAGAAAUAUUUCAUUAACAGUACCACUGAUACUGAGUAUACACAUACACAUACACCAAACUUAAAAUCUGUAUCCCAAAAUAUUUCCUGUUAUAUAUUUUUUAAUUUUCUCCUUUAAACUUAUGUAUUAUACANNNNNNNNNNNNNNNNNNNNNNNUUUAUGUUAUACUAGUAUCUGCAUAUCUAUGUUUAUAAACAGAAAGAUAAAAAUAUCAACAAAUGAGGUCUCACGAUAUAUGGAUUCUUAUUCUUCUGUUCUUGACAAGUUUUAUAUGCGCAAACAUGUAUGUGUCCUCAGACAUACAUGUAGUCUACCUAAUACUGUCCUUUACCAAAUUUACUUGUGUUUUUUCUAGGCGUGAGGUAGCAUUGCAUCUCGUUUGAAGUUAGAUGAAGAGAUGUGGCUUACAUGGCCAGUGGAAUAUGAGCAGAUGUAGUGCAUUUCACACACAGGUGGAAGGUCCAAAAGCCACUGUUUAGCUAAUGUCAUUAUCUGCACUAUGGUGACUGUCAAGCACGUAUUGGACUGACAUCUUUGUCAGGCUGGGUUUCUGAUUGGUUAGGAUACACAGACAUUUCUAAUACCCUGAAACAGGCAAGAUUGGCAGGAAAUAAACUUUUGUUGUACAAAAUUGCUGCAAUAUGUGUGGUGGUAGUUAACCCAGCAUGAAAAUACAACCCAGCUUGAGUGUUGGCAAACUUCUCCUGUAAAAGGCCAGAGAGUAGGCAUUUUGGCUUUUAUGGCCUACAUAUGGUCUCUAUAAUAUAUUUCCUCAGUUUUUUUUCUUCUCAUAACAAACAAAAUUCAAAAUACAUUCUUAGAGGUACAUACAGCCCAUAUGAAAGUGGACUACAGUCCAGGCUAACCCAGUGGACUAUAGUUUUCUAAUUGUCAUCUAAUGACUUCUUGAGAUAAAGACAGGAAAGUGAGGGCCAGGAACCAGGCCCUUGGUUAAGAGCACUUGCUUCCUUUGCACACCCUAGUUUAGUUCAGAGCAUCCAUAUCUGGCUACUUACAAAAGCUGUAAUGCCACCUCCAUGGGGUUCCACACCAUCGUCUGAAUGCCACAAGCACCUGAAUGUACAUAGAUAUGGUAACAUGCACAGAGGCACACACACACACACACACACACACACACACACUGAGACACAGCACGUAGAUAUAUACGUACAAAUAAAAAUAAAUAAAAAAAUCAGAAAUGAGGAUGUACCUAUUUAGAAAAAAGAGGACACACUUCUUGUUGCUGUCCAAACCACAGUUAACAUUUCAGUCCAAACAAUUUAUAACAGCAUAUUAAAAAAAAAACCUACGUAGAAAUUCUUCAUUGUCCAUUUCAUUUACUUUAUUUUUACAUAGAAUGUCAAAUUCAAAUGGAGCUCUGUGGUGACAGAGCAUAAAGUUUCUCAAGGCAUUUCCUUGAGCAUGAAGAUGCUACACACAAACAGACAGAUACAAGAUGGAGAGUUGUCUUAACAUAAAAAAUUACUCUACAUGCUACAUCCACAAGCUCAUUUUUAGUCUUAUGUCUGUCGAUAUGAAAUGGAAUGCCCACUCCUUGGAGCACACUGAACUGCCUUCUUUGCUUUUGUCUUGUUAUUGAGGACCUAGAGUUUGAGUCAUUGCCAACACGGGAGGUCUGUGUCAACUUUUCAUGUUCUCCUAAGUAUCUGUGUUUGGCCUUAUGAUCUGGCUCUAGGUUUGUAAUAUAUCUGGACAGUUUGUUUGGUCAAUCAGGGAUUGCACUGCAUGUGUGAGUGAUGUCAAAUAACCUCUGAGAGCAUAACACUGUCAUAAUUAUCUUGGUGUCAUAAGAAGCACACCCUGGAGAUGGAAGGACUUCCUUGACUUUUUUCACCUUUCCAGAUCAGUUGUUUUAUACGACUGAAAAGAUUUGGUAGUAGCAGUUUCUGGAAACUGUCAGGGUUUUAAAAGCAACAAACAGGGCUCAUCAUGGAACUUGUUACCUGUGAUGGACGCCCUGCUUCAGUGGAUUGCUUCCCCUUCGUACACCAUCAUCAUCUUCCCAUGUUGAGCUUUUUAAACUCAAUUUUGGAACUGUACAGUGAGAAUCAAGUGUUUUUUGCUUACAGUUACAUCUGAAGGUUGUAACAAAAUCAAGAAAUGGUCCAUGGGACUACAACCCCAGUCCAUGGAAUGUGCCUCCCACACUCAGGGUGCCUUCCAUCCUAAAUUAAACCUUCCUGAAAACAUCCUUCUGGACACACUGAGGGGUGCGUGCUCUUGAUGAUUUUAAUCCUCUCAAGUUGGUCAGCAAGAUUAAUGAUCACACAUUCCAUGGAGACAAGAAAUAAUGGAGUCUAUCUUAACACCCUAUUACAGCAAUUUUUUCCUACUCUGCAGUAGUGAAAUACUUACUGAGGAUUCUUUAGUCAAGAAAACAUCAGUGCAGAUGCUUCCUCACUUCAUAUGUAUAUAUUUCAAGAUUUUUACUAAAAGUCUGCUGUUCAACAAAUAACCAUGUCGGAAAAAGUCGUUCUGCAGAACAUCAUGUGGAGAGACAUAUUUGAUGAACACUGGUAGAAAUUGAUCAGCUAAUUUUGAGUGCUUCCUAUGGUUAUGAAAGUUGAUGUUAUAGAUGCACCAAGCCGCAUGUGCAAGACAUCCCACCUCCCAAUGUUGAAACAUCAUGUCAGUAAGUUGUUGAUGUUGCUGUUCUGGUUUUGAGACAGGACUGCAUGUAGUCCAGGACCUGCUGGACUUACUAUGGAGCUAAGGAUAACUCUUAGUUACUAAUCCUCCUGCCUCCAUUUUUUGAAUCCUGGGACUACAAACCAUGCAUUACUACACUUAGUUUAAGUGGUUCUGAGCACAGAACUCUGUUUUGUACUUAUGAGACAAGGACUCUACUAACUAAACUACACUGUCACUCCCAUGUUACAUAUAUAUUACAAUAUAAUUACAUUAUUCAUCCUUUCUCUUCCCUCCCUUCCUCCCAAACUUCCCGUAUAGCUUAUCCUCCUUUGCCUUCUUUCAAAUCCAUGGCCUCUUUUUAAUUGAUGGCUAUUGCUUGCACUAGCAUGCAAUAAAUUCAUGAAUUUAUGGACUGUGAAAAAUACAAACUGAUUGGGAAUCUUUUCUUCCUACUAGGGAACAGUAGGCCUAUGUGGCCGUUGUUUUUGGAAUAUUACUCUAGUUUCAGAAGUUUUGGAAAGCUAUGAGUCAUUUAUGCUAUUCACUAAUAUAAUGAAUCUUAGUCUUAUUUAAAUGUUUGUUUUAAUAGUAUUUAAUCAAUGAUUUAAGAAUAAGCUAAAUAGGAAAUUACUAUAGUCUACAUUACUGUAACUUGCUAACAAUCUGAGCUCAUGCCAACAUUAUAAAUUCUAUUGAAUGGUCUAGUUUGAAAAGCUCUGUUCUGGAACUAGUCUAGUCCCAAGAAGAGCACUGGGGAUAAUGGGCUUUUGAGGACAUAGAUUAGAAAUGAGUGGAGCUGUAAGCAACUGUAAAAAAAAUAAUAAUUAAUAAUAAUAAUUCAAGGCUGGGUCUGAAAUUGAUGGAUCUGUGGCAUCAUGAGCAAUAAUAAUCAGAACAGCUUGAUGAGUGUACACACAUGCUAAAUGUCUGACAGCUUCUUCAUUCAACAAUGUUCACAGCCGGACAAGAAAGGAUGCACUAUAUCUUUUCUGCAAAAAGGAAGAAAGCUUUAGCGUUGAAGAAACUUGCUCAACAUCACCAUGUUUAUAGCAGGUAGCACCGUGAAGGCAAUAUUCUACUUCAGUGAUGGUUGAGUCCUGGACUGCAUGGCUGCUGACUAACUGAGCUUAAUAAAGUAUGCAAAUGAAUUUUCAGUAGUUUUAAAGCUAUACUUCAUGUUUCCAGUUUUCAAACAGUUCCAUGAAAAUCAAUUAACUUUUUUAAUUAAAAAAAAAAGAUGAUGUACUUACACAGCAUCAGGCAUAAUACUGGUGCAUCACAAAAACACUCUGAUACACUCAUCAAUUCAGUGACGGAAGUACAUAUUACCAUUACUAAUAUAAAAAUGUCAAGCUCAGAGAGGUAAAGAAAGUUGCUUCAGAUACAGAAAGUAUGUGACAGAGAUACAGUAUCAGCAGAAAGUAGCUAUGCAACUUCUGUUCUGAUAUUUUCUUUGAGGAAGAUUGAAUAAUAGUAGGAUUAUGACAAUAACAACAGAUAAUAUCUUAGAUUUUACCCAUGACAAACACUGUUUAAACACCCUUUGUACUUCCAUAAGUGUCGUGUGUGAAAACAUUCUUUUACUACUAUUCUGCAAAUGAAGUAAAUAAGUAUAAAAGGUAUUAAAUAAUUAUCUACCUAAUUGACAGCUAUAAAAAGCCAAUAGUGAAGUAGUCUGCAUUGGACAAAAUCUAAGGUUAUACCACAAUAUUAUAUUUUAAAAAUAAACAAAGACCAAAUGCUUACAAAAGUCAUAAGAUUUGGAAAAACAUUUCCAUAUUCUGGGUACUCUGCCUAAAUCCCAUCUCCAAUUUAGUACUCAAAAGAGGUCAGCAACAUUAUGGGAUGGAUAUACUAUGCCAAAAGUCCUUUAGGGAAACAAAUAUUACCUAGAGUCAGAAAUGCAGAGAAUGGAGCAUACAGCCUCAAAGUUCUCCCGAAAUUGAACACUGAAUAUUUUUCAUCUAGUCAGUAAAAGUCAUAAUCUUAUUGAGAUUUCUCUAAGGUAGUUACAGCCUUAAUAAAAUGGUGGGAUUUAUUUAAAACGUGUGUGCACUCAGCCAUAAAAAUAAAGUGGAGAACAAUGCAAAUCAAAUUGUAUAAUUUGUUCAAAUGCAUGUCUCUUUGGUCACACCUUCUUAAUGAAUAGAAGCAGACAAGCAAGGCAGCUAAUAAGUUAUUUUAAUAGGGUGAUGUAACAGUGUGUGAAUUGUUACCUCCUGGGAGAGUGACUGACAGAUUACUAGUCUCAUUACUGUGUAGAUUAGUCUCAGGAAUUCAUUAGUGCCCAGUGUGGCAGCUCUGCUCAGUGCCCUUAAUUUGAAGAAAGAGACAGGAGGCCGGUGUGCCCAUGCAACUCCAAAGACGGAUGAUCUGGAGUUGAAGGCUUUUAGAGCAAAGGACUCUCCUGAGAAGAUGGCAAUUAUUCAUGGUUUUUUUUUUCAAGCCAGUGGUGACAGCUCUCUUUCCUUUAGUCUGUAUCAGUACAUUAAAAAAAAUUGCUACAGGCGACUGGAUUUCACGUUACCUUGGAAGAAAGAGAGCUAAUGCAGAGUAUUUCAAAGGUAUUAUCUGUAUGGCUGAGCUUAAGUAUAAACAAUUUGACUUUACAGAAGGAUGAAGGCAAACAGAAGUAGCAUGGAAAAGUGUAAUUUAUAAGUAACUCUAGCAUUUAAUUUUUCUGUAAUAGGUUUGCCCCCCAUCGCCAAAGCUUUGUAUUGAUUGAUUUUAAAAUCUUUUAUAUGGUAUUUCUACCACAGGUAGGAAAACCAUUUCUCUGAAGACGCUUUAUAACAAAUAAACAAUAUUCUAAUCGUUGGGACAGGAAACAGAAUCCUCAAAGCAUUGCUCACAUUCUAUUAAAAAGAAACUUUCCAACUUUGACUCUAGCUCUUAGAAAUAAAUUCAUAUUACAAGCAACGAUACCCAUGUAGGAUUUUAUAUCUGAAACCAAAUGUUGCCAUUCCUGUGAUAUAAUAUUUCUUUUUUGUUCUAUUCUAAUCUCUUAAUUCAUAGCACUGUAUAGUAUCAUAUUUCUUUUUAAAAUUAUAUUGUUCAAACUGUUGAAUCUAUUUUAAAAUUAGUUUCAAUUUAUUUUACCAUUAUCAAUAAUACAGGAUAUGUACAUUGAAAAACUACAGAAUAACCAUCUCAGGGGAAAAAUUUUUCACGUUAAGUUUUGUAAGAAAAAUUACUGUGUACUUACACAGCAUCAGGCAUAAUAUUGGUCCUUCACAAAAACACUCUGAUACACUCAUCAAUUCAGUGAUGGAAGUACAUAUUACUAUUUCCAUUACUAAUAUAAAAACGUCAAGCUCAGAGAGGUAAAGAAAGUUGCUUCAGAUACAGAAAGUAUGUGACAGAGAUACAGUAUCAGCAGAAAGUAGCUAUGCAAUAAAUAUUGUUUGAACAAAUAGUGCAUUAUUUGCACACACAAUCUUGGCUGCAAAGGUGGGCUAAUUUUGUUAAUAACAGUGACUUCUCCCAGCAAUAACUGCAGAACAGAAGAAACAGGCAGGCUGGUUAUCAACAUUCGCUCCUGGGAUCUAGUGAGAGCAUCCGCGUGCCCUCUCUCAAUCUUCCUAUAGACACAGGGCCACUCACACUAUGCUUGUGGGCUCUGGAUAUACUAUCUGAGCUCUUAGGUUGCCUUCUAUUCUUAUUAGCUGCAUAUAAAGCUUGAUUAAAAUUUCUGUGUAUAUUGUUUAAAUCUCUUAUAUCAGUAAAUAAUAUAUAAUAUAGACGUGUUUGGAAGAUUACAAAUUUUAGCAAUUUAGAACAAUUUCUGACAUCUGGCACACAGUCAAUCAUUGUCAGCCAUUAGCACAGUUAUACUGAGCAUAUUUAUGACUCUAUUCGGCUGGUUCUCCUUCAAGAGACUGGAACAGUGACUUCAAACUCUUACGUAUUUUGUAGUUGGGAACCCAGACUUCUUUUUCUUUGGCUUUACUUUUAAGAAUUCAAAUUCUCAAGAUGGUAUCCUCUUUGUUUUUAAGAGAACCUGCCAUUGACCUCCUCUCAGACUUACAAAGAAAUAGGUCCCUAACUCUCCCUCACAAGGGAGUACCUGAAGAUCAGCCCUGGAUAUGGCUGUGUUGCUAUCUCUGCAGCUGAAUGGAAGUUUACAGCACUCAAGUCUGAGUCUCACUUUCUUAGUGUCCAAGGGUAACCACUCUAGCACAUCUUUCAGAAGAUGUUGAGUUAGAACAAUAAGGUCAAGAGCAGAUGAGUCAGCUUGGUUGUAUAGAUUGAGUGACUUAAAGCAAGCUAGAGUGGGACGUUCACAAAGAGUUUCUAUAGAAACAUACUCUUGUUGUUUUCCUUUUCAACUCUCCUGGCAAUUGUUGGUGAUAAAUGGAUGCUCGGAGGUUAUCUUUGACUUUUCUUUCUCAUUGGAUACUCCAUCAUGAUGUCAGCCAGUCUCUUUCAUGAAGGUAGGUAUGUAGUUAUUGGCCAGAGUUUAUCGGUUAUAUUUCUAUUCAUCUCAAACCCUGUUAACAGUCUAUGUGUUCUUAAAAGGAACAAAAAAGGUAUGACCAGAAAUUAAGCAUGAGCCUAAAAGUAGCAGAGUAACAGCAAAGAAGUUGCCAGUACUGGGAUGACCACCAAAAUUGACUUGCCUGCUCUGCAUUGCCCCUGUGCUCACAGGACAAAAGGAAGUCAUGUGUCCUUGCUUCGGAAAGCUGGCGUACAAAUCAAUAUCUGCUUGUUUUUAUUAUAAGCUAAAACAUUAAUGCCUAUAUUUACUUAUUAUUUAAUUGCAUUCAGUUAUCAAUUAAUGAGUAUCACAUAAUAAAUAAAAAUUUGUGUCAAAAUAUGACUUCAAUGACAAGUAAAAAUUGUUUUUACCAGCACAAGAUGACAAUGCAAUAUUUUCCUUUUCUUGGUAUAUUAGUCAGGAUUCUCUAGAGGAACAAAACACACACACACACACACACACACACACACACACACACACACACACACCCAUUAGAUAUGUUAGAAUGUCUUAUACUGUGUGGCCCACCUAGUCAAGCAAUGGCUGUCUAUCAAUGGAAUGUCCAAGAAUCCAGGAGUUAGUUGGCCAGGCCAUGAGUCUGAAUGUCUCACCUGGUCUGCAAUAUAUGCCAUAAUCUCAAAGUAGAUUUUAUUGCCAAUGAAGGAAUGGAUUUGAUCAUGAUAGUGAGAGUUAACAGGCAUGGAGAGCAAUCUUUCUUUGCCCAUGCCCUUUAUAUAGGCUGUCAGAAGAAAGUGGCUCUUUCCACUUAGAAAGAUCUGGAUCCAGAUUAUAAGUGAGUCUCCCCACUUCAAAUCAUUUAACUAAAGAGGUAUACCCAGACAUUUUGGUUUUAGUUAAUUUCAAUUGUAGUUGACAACCAAGAGCAGCUGUUACAAGUUCAGCCCUUGUCAACUUGAUACACAACCAUAUUUUCUUACGUUAUGCCUAAUUUCCAAAUGAAAACAAUAACCAGAUCAUAAUUAUAUCUAAUAUGGUGUAACUGGCCCUUGUACAACAGCAAGCAUGAUUAUGGACCUCUGUUCUGUCCUCUGUUGAAACAUGGUGGCACAUUCUUACUCCAAUUGUAGCACUGUAAAAAUAGAGGCAGGCAGACACGGAGGUGUGCUGGUGUCAGCCUGCUCUAUUAAGUGAGCCUCAGCUCCCACCAGAGAUUUUCUCAAAUAACAUGGUGAGGGGGGAAAAGUGGACAGCCUUUGAAGGACACCAGAGAUUGAUCUCUGGCCCUGACCUACACCUGACCUACAAACACACAUACACACAAACACACACACGCUCGCAUACACACACAUGCACCCAUGCACAAGCAUGUACAUAUAUGUUCACAAAGCCUCACACAUGCUUAUAAAUGCUCACACACACAUACACACUCAUUCAUGUAUAUUCAGAUACACAACCACGCAUGCACACACACAUGCAUACACACACAUACAUGUACACAGAUAACUUAUGCAUACACACAGACAUACACACUUGUAGGCACAUGCACAAACCUAGUGAAUGAAUAUCUUUUACUACUAUGUAUCUUUAGAAAUAAAGUCUUAACUUCAGUGUAUAAAAAAAUUUUAAGUUGCUCAGAUCCUAUUUGUUUUGUGUAAUUUUUGUGCAUGUGAUACAACACAGUAUUUAUAUCUUCACAGGAGUUAUAUAUUAUGAACAUCUUACUUAACUCUAUUUACUGACAAUGUAUCAUACAAUGUUCUAGGCACUGGGAAACAGCAAAUCUUUUUUAAAAAAUUGAUUCAUGCUUAACAAUCAGUAAAUUCUAUAAAACUAUGAAUGUCUAAUGUUUUUAGACUGUAAAGAAGAACAACUAGAAUUAUACUCUCUGAAGUUGCAUAUAGGAUAUUUCAUUAUAACUCUAAGUAAUUGGUGUUAUUUUAAGUUUAUUUUGAUACUUUUCUAAAAAUGAAAAAUGACACCGCUGUUUGUGGGUUAGUAGCUGGUGGGAAUUCUUUUUACAGCUGCCUCUGUCAUUUGUCUUAAUCAGACAGCAAAUAAGCCUCCAUUUCUUCAGGACAUUAAGAUCACUGUGUGUCAUUUCUAUUCUGGCCCCUGGAAUUUCAAAAAAUAUAGCUUAAGCUCUAUGUUUUUCCAUCCAUGUGGAAAAAUAUGCAGAAUCGCUAAAUUCUAUGUUUCAAUUCAAGUACUUAAAACAAUACGUUAAAAAAAAAGCUGGUAUAACUUUACAGAAAGCGAGGUUAUGUUAUCUGUGUGUUUUAGCAGAGAAAUGUAAAAUGUGUGAAAGUUCUGUAACAUAGAAGCAACUAGUGUUCACCCUUAAGCAUAUUGCUGACCUCUCUGAGGCUGUAGUGUUGCUCUGCCAAGUACAGUAUGUAUUAUAAGUAUAUACACACAUACAUAUGUAUGUAUGAAAAGGAAUGGUGUUUACUGAAAAAGUAGUUAUCUUUUUAAAGCUUAUGUGCAUGGCUUGCAAAAAUUAGUGAAAGAUCAAAGUCUACCCAGAAUGAUAUCAUAACAAGGUAGUAUGAAAUCAGAUCAUGUGAAAAGCUGAAUAUUUACACAAGGGGGUCAGAAAGCAGCUGGCUCUAUGUAAACUAAAGAAAUCCAACAAACAUUCUAAGACAGCGCUCAUUUUUUUUUAUUUUUAAAAUUUUCAAUACAGGGUUUCUCUGUAUAGCCCCGGCUGUCCUGGAACUCACUCUGUAGACCAGGCUGGCCUCGAACUUAGAAAUCCGCCUGCCUCUGCCUCCUAAGUGCUUGGAUUAAAGGCAUGCANNNNNNNNNNNNNNNNNNNNNNNNNNNCUUUUUUUUUUUUUUUUAGUUCUCAUUCUUGAUCUGCAAUGGACAUAGCAUCAAGCAUCCUUUUUAAGUAAUGUACUAUCAUUUUUACAAAUUUUACAAAUUACAAAUAUUACAAAUAUUUUCUAAAACAUAAGAUCCUAAUUUGGGUGUGUGUGUGUUCCCUAAAAAUAACAAUUUUUGUUAUCCUGCAUAAAAUUAAAAAUAUGUUUAUUUCAUCUUUGUGACUUAUUUUCUUGAAAAUUUCAUUUUAAAUUCAGUAUAAACAACUUAUCUCUAUUAUUUAGAGGAAACAGUUUUACAUUUAAUAAAACAACUUUGGGCUAUUUAUACAUGUUUUAUUUUUAGUCUGAGGGUCCGAGCAAGUUUUAAUUUCUUAGCCAUUGAAAUCAAGACUCUUUUGCUGAACAUAUAACACACUUUGGUCAUGGGCUUUAGAUAAACAUAGCAGGAACUGACUUGGAAGUCUUUUCCAUGGCCACCUCCAUAGUAUAGAAAAGAUGCUGUGCCUGCUGCCAAAAGAAAAUUAAUCAGAUCCUUCCCAGCUGUAAGAUUUUGAACCUAAACAAUAUAUCCUCCUAAAAUACAGUAGUGACAUUUACAUUUUUGGUAGGCAACAGAGGUAUAAUUUGACUUUUUUUUAAUUAGGUACUUUCUUCAUUAACAUCUCCAGUGCUAUCCCAAAAGUCCCCCCCACNNNNNNNNNNNNNNNNNNNNNNNNNNNNNNNNNNNNNNNNNNNNNNNNNNNNNNNNNNNNNNNNNNNNNNNNNNNNACCCAUAGGGUUGCAGAUCCCCUCAGCUCCUUGGGUACUCUCUCUAGCUCCUCCAUUGAAGGCCCUGUGAUCCAUCUAAUAGCUGACUGUGAUCAUCCACUUCUCUGUUUGCCAGUCUCGGCAUAGUCUCACAGCUAAGAGACAGCUAUAUCAGGGUCCUUUCAGCAAAAUUCCACUAGGGUAUGCAAUGGUGUCAGCAUUUGGAGGCUGAUUGCGGGAUGGAUCCCCAGAUAUGGCUUCCUCUCAGCUCCAAACUUCCUCUCUGCAACUCCCUCCAUGGGCGUUCUGCUCCCAAUUCUAAGAAGGGGCAAAGCAUCCACACCCUGUCUUCAUUCCUCCUGAGUUUCAUGUGCUUCGCAAAUUGUAUCCUAUAUCUUGGGUAUUCUAAGAUUAUGGGUUAACAUCCACUUAUCAGUGAGUACAUAUCAUGUGAGUUCUUUUGUGAUUGGGUUACCAAUCCUCUGAUGAGGNNNGGGUGUUGGAUUUUGUCAAAUGCUUUUUCUGCAUCUAAUGAUAUGAUCAUGUGAUUUUUGUCUGAGUUUGUUUAUAUAAUGGAUUAUAUUGAUGGAUUUUCGUAUGUUAAACCAUUCCUGCAUCCCUGGAAUGAAACCUACUUGAUUAGGAUGGAUGAUUGUUUUGAUGUGUUCUUGGAUUUGGUUAGCGAGAAUUUUAUUGAGUAUUUUUGCAUCGAUAUUCAUGAGGGAAAUUGGUCUGAAGUUCCCUAUCUUUCUUGGGUCUUUCUGUGGUUUAGGUAUCAGAGUAAUUGUGGCUUCAUAGAAUGAGUUGGGUAGAGUACCUNNNNNNNNNNNNNNNNNNNNNNNNNNNNNNNNNNNNNGACUGGGUGAGGUGGGAGUGCUGGGUUCUGAUGAUGGUGAGUGGUCUUGGUUUCUGUUAGUAAGAUUCUUAAGUUUGCCUUUCACCAUCUGGUAAUCUCCAGAGCUAGUUGUUAUAGUUGUCUCUGGUUAGAGCUUGUUCUUCUUGUGAUUCAGUUAGCCUCUAUCAGCAGACCUGGUAGACUAGCUCUGUCCUGAGUUUCAGUGGUCUGAGCGCUCUCUGCAGGCAAGAUCUUCUCUUUCAGGGAAGGUGCACAGAUAUCUGGAGUUCAGACCUGCCUCCUGGCAGAAUAUGAAGGCUUGAAACAGGGCCUGUUAGCUUCUGUAGUCCACAUCCUUACCUGUUCAGACUAGUCUUGGAGGGAUCAGGGAACCAAGAUGGCCUCCCCAGGUGCUCUGGCAAAGCCCUCCUGGGCAGGGAGGUCACCUGUCCUCUGGUAGGGAAGGUGCCCAGAUGUCUGGAGACUGAAAUGGGGUCUGCUUCAGAAGCUGUCCUCUAGGGACCUUGGGGGUGCCCUCUGACUCGUAGCCCAGGUGACCAGGUGCUAGCGCUGACCAGAAGGGACUUGUGACCCUGGUCAGGCCGGGUUUACUGCUUCCCUAAUGCUGUCUCAGGUCCCAUGUGAUUGGAAUGGAACAGAAGUUGUGUUCCACUCACUGGUGGUCCUAAGAUCACGUGGAGUCAGAUCUUUUUAUGGAUGGUUGUGAGCCACCAUGCGGUUGCUGGGAUUUGAACUCUGAACCUUAGGAAGAGCAGUCAGGUACUUUUACCCACUGAGUCAUCCACCAGCCCGAGAGUCCUCAAGGGACCUUGGGGGUGUCUGCCAACUCCGCACCCAAGGUGACCCGUUGCUGGUGCCGACCAGAAGGGACUUGUGACCCUGGUCAGGCCGGGUUUUCUGCUUCUCUAAUGCUGGUCCCACUCGAUUGGAAUGGAACAGAAGAUGUGUUCCACUCACCGGUGGUCCUAAGAUCACAUGGAGAGUCCUCUUUGGACCUUGGGGGUGUCCGCCGACUCCGCGCCCAAGGUGACCCGGUGCUGGCCCCGACUGGAAGGGACUUGUCAAUAUAAUUUGAUUUAAGGUGCAUUUAAUAGGAAUUUGUGCCUGGUACUGUAAAUCUUUUGAACUAUCCAUGGCUGGUGAGGUCACAGAACCUCAUGAAGAAUCUACUACUAUUCUAAAGCAGCAUAAUUUCUAGCUUGAGUAUAAACAUAUUUUCUUAUGCUCACAGAUAAGUAUAGCCUUCACACCUCAUCAAAGCAGCUUCUUUUUUGCAGGGUGUGUCAUACGGAGACUCUACCAUGGAAACCCACAAGUGGUUACAAUGCUGAGAACUACUGACUAACUGUAGGUUGUCCGUCCCCAGAUGAUACAUCUACAGCACAACCCUUGCACCUAAGGUUCAUUAGGAAAGACAGUAGAAAAAUUUAUGAGCCAGAGGGCCAGACAUUUACUGCAAGAUAGCAUCUGCGAAAGGUGAACUGCUCCCAUGAAAUCACAACUGUAGGGAAACAAGACCUGUAAAGUGGUUGACAUGAUUCCGUAGAUGGGGCAACUCUCCUCCUAGAUAAGAAGCUAGAGGCAGUUAAUAGCAAGCAAAGACCAGCAGACUUGACUUCUCUAUGGACAAGGCUCCUGAUUGGUCGUCUAAUUUCAAGUGGUCAGCUCUAAACAUACAUAAUAGGAACAAUACUAAUGAACCCAGGAGAGAGAGGGGUGGAGGGGCAAAAGGGGAGGGGGGAUGUAGAGGAAAGGGAGAGGGAGAAUGUAUGUGUGUGUGUUUAUCUGUAAAAAAAUAAUUAAAGAUGAAAUCAUAAGUUUUACAGGAAGUGGAGGGAACACAGAGUUGGCUGGGGAAGAGAUGAAUGAAAUAAUGUAAAUACAGUACUGAGGUAAGAAAUUCAUAUAUAUAUAGAUAGAUAGAUAGAUAGAUAGAUAGAUAGAUAGAUAUGACACUCUCAAAUAGAAAUUUCCCAAUUCAUAUGCUAAUGGACUGCCUAUACCAUUUAGUUCUUUUUCUCAAGACGAGAAGCAGCAGCAACAGCAGCCCACAAUGGUGUAAGAACCACAUAAGGUUGCCUUUAAUUUCUUAGAAGAAAUGCAAUUGCUUCUUUAUCACAUACAACUUUCCAGAGUCUUGCUCAUUCAUAUACAGUAAACUCCAGUGGUUUUUUUCUUUUUUUCUUCAUUUUUUUUAAUUGUUAAAAAAUUCAUAGUUAUAGACUUCUUUAUGCCUACUGUACAAACAUCAGCGUGUCGAGAAAGUCAAGUGAGGUUUAAUUAUAGCUUGGAUGAUGUUCACCACAUAUUUUGUUAUCAGCUCUUCUACAAUUUUAGUGUGCAUUUAAGCAUACCCACAAAAUUGUUAACAAAAGCACAGAUUCUAGUUAACAUUAUAAUAAAGUUAUAUGUCGUUUCGUUUUAGGGAAUAUGCUGGCUAUUGAGCCCAGGUUUUUCACAUGCUAAGCAAAUGUUUUUCCAUGGAGCUACAUGAUCAGCCCAGCAUCUGAAUUUUCAGUGGGCAGUUUUGUUGUAGUACAUUUGUUUGUGUUACUAUGAGAUGAAUCUUCAGAGCACUUUCUUCUUGCAAAACUGAAGUUCUCUCUCUAUGAAACAACUGCUAUUUUCACUGUCCACCAUUCCACUUCCUAAAACUUUGACCACUUUAGGUGGUUAUUGUUUUGAAACCUCACACUUUGUCAUUUUGUGAUUGGCUAUUUCAAUAGUUUGUCAAGGCUCAGACUUGCAGCAUGUGACAUGAAGUUCUUCAUUUUUAAAGCAAAAUAAUAUUAAUUGUGCAAACAUACUAGUUUGUUUAGCCCAUUCAUUUGUUGGUAGUUAUUUCAGAUGAUUCUACUUCUUGACUUUUGUACUACAUAGUGGUGCUGGCUGCAGUGAUGUAAACUGUUUAGGACAUGUUUGCAAUUAUCAGAGGUACUGUGUUAUGUAACAGAAUUUUUAUGGAGAGAAAAAACACACACUUGUAACCACAGCUGGCUAUACUGCUUUGGCUCCUGGUGGGUCACACACAUGCACUUUCCCAGGAGCUAUCUGAAUUCAUGAAUGAAAGACACACACACACACACAAACAGACACACUUGUUGCAGUAAAUCUCCAACCCCAAUAAGCCCUGCAAAGAACACACAACUCAGUUGUUAUAUUUAUAAGCUGCAUACCUAGAUUGGGCAGAUAUACCACUCUACUACUAUAUUCCCCAGCUGUAAGAUCUCUUGCUACUUGUGGCUCCUCCACGUGGUUCGGCUCCAUCUAUUUUAUACCUCCUCUUCUUUCAUCUUCCUCUGUCUCCUCAUCUCUCCCUCCUCCUUCCUCUCUCCCCUCUCUAAAACCUCCAGCCCCACCUUUCCCUUCCACUGUCCAAUCACAGGCUCUAGCCUUUAUUCCAUUAGUCAAAAUGGGGAGAAGGUUCACCUAAAACCACCUGGAUAUGUGAUCCACUCCUCCUCGGGCAGCCCCUCUUGAGGUAGCAGAAUGAGCAUCAAAAUACAAACAGCAACAGGGCAAUUCAACACACACACACACACACACACACACACACACACACACACACACACGUUUGUUUAGGAAUACAACCUGUUUAGUCUGUUCUGAAAUGCCACAGUGUAGUUAAAUCAUUAAACUUAGCCUUGAUGGGAGGAAUGGUGCUGAAGCUUUAUCGGUCUUUAGCUCUAGUAUUUAUCUUUUUUAUUACGUGUUUGCAUAAUGUUAGCAUGUAUUUUCGUCUCUCCUCUUUUAAGGAUUUUAUUAGGUGGAUGUUGGUCUGCUUAGUUUGUUCCUUAUCCUAUCAUCUUUUUCCUUCUCUGUUUAAUUUUUUGGUGGGUUUCUUUCAUAUGAUUUUCUGUCCUUUGUACUACAUUUUUAAUCUUGGCAGUCAUAACUAAAUUUUGGGUUCUCAUUAUUCUGUUUCUUUGGUUAUAUGGGAUUUUCUUUAAAUCUUAUUUUCAAGAUGCUUUUAAGAAUGUUUUAAAUGUUUGUUUUUGUUUUCUCAAUUAGUUCAGCUUCCUCUAAGGUGAAUUUCUGUCUUCCAAGUUUUGGUGUUUCCUUUUUAAUUUUGUCAGUUUUCCUCCAAUGGUAAAGACUUCUGUCUUUUAUUAAGGAAGAAGGACCGAGGAGAUGGACGUAUAUUUCUGCUUUGUUGUGUUAACAGGACAGUUUUCCUACAGACUCUCUCCUCUACCUACAGGGUGUCUUCCUGAGAUGGGCACACAGUGCUGACUAGCAUCCUUUAGGAUGGAUGAGGUGAGCUUCUGUUUGCUUUGAAAACACUCCAGAGAUUUUACGUUUCCACUUUUGCACCAACACAUUUAGAAGUUAGACUUUUCUGGACUUAUUUGGUUUCUGUAGAAAUAAUUCUCACAUGUAUUUGAUGGGACAGAAUGCUGCCUUUCUGAGACAUGUGUUCAAGUUGGAGACUGGCUUGAACUUUGUCAUAUUCAGCUUCAAAUAAACUGUUCCUAGCUUCAUAUUUUACACCUCCCCUAACUUUUGCCAACUGAUUUUGUACUCAGAGUUCUCUGGGAUUUGAAAGGCACAUUAACUGCCUUCUAUACAGAUCUCUAUUGUUUGUUGAUUCCUCUUCAUAUAUAAACACUUUGCCCCUUCUUAGAAUUGGGAACAAAACACCCAUGGAAGGAGUUACAGAGACAAAGUUUGGAGCUGUGACGANNNNNNNNNNNNNNNNNNNNNNNNNNGAAAGGAUGGACCAUCUAGAGACUGCCAUAUCUGGGGAUCCAUCCCAUAAUCAGCUUCCAAACGCUGACACCAUUGCAAAAAAAAAAUGUAAAGUAUAAAAUAUAAAAUAUGAUAUAUGAUAUAUAUGUUUUUUAUUUAUUUACAUUUCAAAUGUUAUCCCCCUUCCCAGUUUCUCCUCCCCAAACUCCCUAUCACAUAUCCCACUCACCCACCCACUUGGGUCUCACUGCCCUAGAAUCCCCCUAUGCUGGGGUUAAAGCCUCCACAGGGCCCAUUGAUGUCAGAUAAAGUCAUCCUCUGCUACCUAUACAGCUGGAGCCAUGGGUCCCUCCAUGUGUACCCUUUGUUUGGUGGUUUAGUCCCUGGGAGCUCUUGAGGGGUCUGGUUGGAUGAUAUUGUUCUUCCUAUGGAGUUGCAAACUUCUUCAGCUCUUUCAGUCUUUCCUCUAACUCCUCCAUUGGGGUCCCCAUGUUCAGUCAGAUGGUUAGCUAUGAACAUCCGAGUCUGUAUUGGUUAGACUCUGGCUGAGCCUCUCAGGGGACAGUCAUAUCAGGUUCUUGUCAGCAAGCAUUUCUUGGCAUCUGGUUUUGGUGUUUGCAAAUGCAAUGAAUCCCUAUGUGGGGCAGUUUCGGGAUGGCCAUUCCUUCUGUCUCUGCUCUACUCUUUGUCCCUUCAUUUACUUUAGACAGGAACAAUUCUGUGUUAAUACUUUUGAGAUAGGUGGGUGGCACCAUCCCUCAACUGAGGCCGAUCCCUAACAUCUGGAUCUCCCUCUUUACAGGUUCUCCCUCCCCUCUGUUGGGUAUUUCAGAUACUGUCAUCCCUGUUGGGUCCUGGGAUCUGGGACUUUCUAGUUGCUACCCCCAGUUCCCCAUCCCCCACUACUACACACCUUCAUUCAAUUUCUUGACUCUUUAUAUUUCUUCCUCCAUCUCCUCCCAUACCUCAUCCUGUCACCCUCCCCCCUGCCAGAUCCCUCCCACAUUCUACUUACCAUGAUUAUUUUGUUUCCUUUUCUAAGUAGGAAUGAAGCGUUCACAUGUUGGUCUUCCUUCUUGAGCUUCAUAUGGUCUGAGUUGUAUCGUGUAUAUUCUGACCUUUUUGCCUAAUAUCUACUUAUCAGUGAGUACAUACCAUGUGUGUUCCUCUGUGACUGAGAUAUCUCACUCAGGAUCACAUUUUCUAGUUCCACCCAUUUGCCUGUGAAUUUCAUAAAGUCAUUGUUUUGAGUAAUUAGUAUUUGAGUUGAGUAGAACUCCAUUGUGUAAAUAUACCACAUUUUCUGUAUCCAUUCCUCUGUUGAGGGACAUCUGGGUUGUUUCCAUCUUCUGGCUAUUAUAAAUAAGGCUUCAAUGAACAUAGUGGAGCAUGUGUCUGAUUCUUCAUUCUUUUUGUGUCAAAUGACCUUUUCUACACUUAUAUUCCAAGAAUUAAUUAGAAAUCUAAACUUCAGGAAUGCAUAAGAGUUGUCUUAUCUGUUAGGCAUUUUCCUUUGUGCUCUUUUUUUAUUAUCUUCUGUCUCCCACCUAUGUUUCUCUCUGAUACAGGGAACUGGCUCUGCCAAUAAUAUUUUGUUACCAACUGCAGGCCAGCAGUCAUCUAAGUUUAACCAUUAAGAAAUACCAGAGAGAUACUGGCAAGUGGGGAAAAUAGAAAAGGUAACCAUACCUCCACCUGCUUCUGCCUUGGGCAACAUCUCUAAAAUUCCAGCCCUUCUUUUAUUUCGACUAACUCGAUACCUUCUGAACAUACACACCCCCUAACUUAUGAUUCCAAUUCUUGCCUAAUAAUGUUUGAUUCUAGGAUCAGCCAACAAUAUCUUGUCCCUGGGUCCCUACAGCCAUAAUGGUGCUAAUAGCAUUAAAUGUUGUUUACUGAUAUGACUUUUUACAUCACAUCAUACUUUUUUUAAUAGAAAAAAUUCUAUAAAAGUAUUCACCUUGAUUCUUCUUACUGUUUUCUGAAAGACAUAGACAUAAGGAAUAUUCUAUGUAUCUAUACUUUUAGUUUAAUGGGUUCUUGGAAGAAAUGGAAGAUCUAUGCAUAUGGCCAGUCUGUCAACAUGAACUGAAAAAUGAAUGUUUUGUGGAUUUGGGUGUAUAUUGUCAAAACCUUUGUAUCAUAUUUUAUUUCCACUAACAGCAGAUGGUGUUCAUAUCUGACAUCUGCAUAGCUCAGUGUGUGAUACUGGUAUCAUCAGUGUAUCUGACUUUUACAUAGGAACAUGAAUUAAAAUAUAUGUAUGUUCUCUUGACUCAGAACAUUUAAUUUUUCUUCCUAACAGCUGGAAAUAAUCUAUGAGGACAGAAAGACAGUAGCACACGAACAAGUUUGGGUUCAAAGUGGCUAGUCAGUUACUCAAGACUUCAGAUUCCCAACACUAAGAGAGAUACAAAAAGCUGCUUUCCUGGCGGCUCCUCUAAAGUCUAAAGAGGAAAGUUUUUUUUUUGUUUUUUUUAUUUUUUUGUUUGUUUUGUUUUUUCUGGCUAAAAGUAAAGUUCUUCCCAGAAAAAGAAAGUUGUCACCGGGAUCCAAGUUUUCAAAGCAUUACUCAGAAAACAGUAUGUCUCACAAAAGGCUGAGUCACAAUCAUCUACCUCUGCUUUUAAGAUUAAUAAACAGUCAGGAAAAGUUAUAUCUUGCAUGGAUUUCCAUAGAGAGAAUGAGAAACAGAGUAAAAGUACGGGAUUUCGAAUGUGACAUGUUGCCUUUUCUCAACUGUAUGGAACAAAGUCUUAGUUGCAUCCCUUACACAAGUCACAUCAAUUUAUCAAUUUGAAGUCUUGGUUGGCCACGGCUUAUGGCAUUUUAUGGUUUCUUUGUAAUCAUGCUUUUGGUCUUUGUAAUUUCAUUAAUUAACACUGGUCAUCUACACAGUCAGGAUGUCCUCUAUGACCCCAGCUUCUUCCACCUGCAGAGAUGGUAUACUUUUUCAUCACCCUAUUGCUUUGCUCUAGUGUGCAUUCCUUCCAUUAUUUAGCAUCAACUUUUUUUAUCUUGAAAUUGAAGAUAAUUGGUCCCAGAAUUAUCCAUCCCUUGCUGAGCAAAGCGUAUGACUAAGAGAGAUCGCGUCUCAUGAAAUCAAUGUAGCUAGUCCUUAUGUUCACAAAAAUCUCCUAUUAGGCUGCAUGAUCUUUUCUCACAACAAUGUUAUUUUAUCUUAUGUGUUGAUUUAAAGAGUUAAACUCUCUCUCCUCCUCCUCCUCCUCUCCCACCCUCUGUUCUAACUUUUCUUUCUUCCCUUUCUCCCAUUAUUCAAGAAGAUAAAAAAGUGGAAGAGUCACAGAUCUUAGCUUCAUCAUCAAUGACUUUAUUCACAGCUCUCACGUUCCAUGUGGUCUAUGAACAGGUUACUGUAGAACAUAAAGGGGCUUUUAGUUUUAUAGGGUGACCAAUUAGUGUUCUGACUAAACUCAGAUGUUUUGGUGACUUGUUGGGGUGGAGCCCAAUAAUUUUGCCAAGAUGGGAUCCACACGAGUGAUCCUUUUGGUGGAUACUCAGCCCCAAAUCACAGUCAAGUGGAAACAAAGGGCACUCAGCAGACAGAGGACUCCAAUUAGAAUAAUUAGGAGAAGUAAUUUGCACAGCUUCAAAAAAAAAAGAAGGAAGAACUCUUGACAUUGCAAUUUAUCUAAUGAAUAUCCUUUUGAAGACCACUUGUAAUGUGAAAUUAAAAGCCAAAAAAAAAAAAAUGAGUACAUUAGGCCAAUAGAUGCCCCUGGAGCUCCCCUACUUUAUUUGUCUUAUUUCUACACACAUCAUUUCUCAACUUAUUAGUUAUCAGCUUAAGCCCUCAGAAUCAAGGAGAAAUUCACAAAUUCUUUUAGAAAAUAGUAACACUUCAUACUCACAAGUACUACACAAAAAUCCUCUAUUUGCUACAAUUUAUGUCUGAAGGGAUUUAAGUUUAAUUGUCUUGGUCUCUUAGAAAAGAAAAGACUUGGAAGCAUUUAGUAUGACUAAAACUUUUCCCACAUGCUGUGACUUUAAUUAUGGAAAGUUGGGUCCCCUUAUAAUGCCCUGGAGUAUUGUGUAGGAAAUGCCCAUCAGGAACAAAGCAAGUGUAAUACCAUGAUCUGAAAUGAUUGGCUCCUAUACUUUCUAGUUUGUUUAAAAACACAACUGAAUGAAUCCACACAGGAGAGCACUUCUACAUGUUCAUUUCAUUUUAUUCAUAUGACUAUGUUCCCCUUUGGUAUACAUCAAAUACACAAUAUUCAUAUGGAUCUCCAAACAGGGCAUUGGAUCUCUAGAAAGUGGGACGGUUGUUAGCCAGAAUGUAUACAUUUCAAUUGAGCUGGAAUCACCUGGAAAAGCAGUCAUUGCUCUUAACAAGUGAAUCGUCAAGUUAAUCCCUCAUACCAGAGAACAUUUCUACCUAGCCAUUAUUUUUUAGUAUGAAGUAUUUUUUAUUUGUUGACACGUGUCUAUCAAUCCUUUUAAACUGCAACAGAGCCUAUUGUGUUAUGCUCAGAAACUGAAGAGGGGUAGCAUAUCUCUUCUUAUAUUUCCUUUGUAUGGGUUUGGGUAGCACUUAGGAAGAUAAUAAGUGGCAAGAAAGGUGCUAAUCAUAUUUCAAGUAAAAAACUGAACACAGCUACAAGCAUAUAUAUUUUAAUCAAAUUUUAUAAAUGUCCUAUUUAUUAAAUAUUUAAUUUAAAUUAAAACAAAUUAAAUGCAAAAAUAAUUUAAGGAGCUUGGAUACAUUAAGAUCUCAGGUUCCCAGAUACAGUUUGACUCCAAGGAGUUCUGACACACCCAGGAUCUCAGGAUCCCAGGAUUCCAGAAUUUAGGAUCACAUGGACAACUGGACUAUGAGGAGUUCUGAAACAACCAGGAUUACAGGAGGGACAGGCCCCAGUCAGACACAGUGAGGGCAGGCAGCACUACAGAUAACCAGAUGUCAAGAGGCAAGCAUAAGAACAGAAGCAACAGACGCCAAGUUUACUUGGCAUCAUCAGAACACAGUUUUCCCACCAUAGCAAGUCUGGAUACACCAUCACAUCCCGAAAAGCAAGAUUCAUAUCUAAAAUCACUUCUAAUAAUGAUGAUAGAGGUAGAGGUCUUUAAGAAGGGCAUAAAUAACUCUCUUAAAGAAAUACAGGAGAAUACAGGUAAUCAGGUGAAGGAAUUUAAUGAAACCAUUCAGGAUGGAAAAAAAAAAAACCAGAAAUAGAAACAAUAAAUAAAUCACAAACCCGAGACCUUGGAGAUAGAACACCCAGGAAAGAGAUCAGGAGUCAUAGAUGCAAGCAUCACCAACAGAAUAGAAGAGAUAGAAGAGAGGAUCUCAGGUACAGAAGAUACCAUAGAAAACAUUGACACAAUAGUCAAAGAAAAAUGCAAAAUGAAAAAAGCUCCAAAAACUAAACAUCCAGGAAAUCCAGGAUGCAAUGAGAAGCCAAAAUCUGAGGAUAAUAGGUAUAUAAGAGAGUGAAGAUUCCCACCUUAAAGGCCCAGUAUCUUCAACAAAAUUAUAGAAGAAAACUUCCAUAACCUAAAGAAAGAUGUGCCCAUGAACAUAAAAGAAGCUUAUAGAAUUCCAAAUAGGAUCAGAAAAGAAAUUCCUCCCAUCAUAUAAUAAUCAAAACACCAUAUGCACUAAACAAAAAAGAAUAUUAAAAGCAGUAAGGGGAAAAGGUCAAGUAACAUAUAAAGUCAGACCUACCAGAAUUCCACCAGAGUUCUUACCAGAGACUAUGAAAACCAGAUUAUCCUGCACAGAUGCCAUACAGACCCUAAGAGAACACAAAUGCCAUCCCAGACUACUAUACCCAGCAAAACUCUCAAUUAACAUAGAUAGAGAAACCAAGAUAUUCCAUGUCAAAACCAAAUUUACACAAUAUCUUUCCACAAAUUCAGCCAUACAAAGGAUAAUAGAUGGAAAACUCCAAGAUAAAGGAGGGAAACUACACCCUAGAAAAAGCAAGAAAGUAAACUUCCUUCAACAAGUCCAAAAGAAGAUAGCCACACAAACAUAAUUCCACCUCUAACAACAGAAAUAACAGGAAGCAACAAUAGUUUUUCCUUAAUAUCUCUUAAUAUCAAGUGGACUCAAUUCCCCAAUAAAAAGUCCUAGACUAACAGACUGGAUACAUAAACAGGACCCAGCAUUUUGCUGCACACAGGAACUACACCUCAGUGACAAAGACAGACACUACCUCAGAGUAAAGGGCUGGAAAACAAUUUUCCAAACAAAUGUUUCCAAGAAACAAGCUGAAGUAGUCAUUAUAAUAUCAAAUAAAAUCGACUUUCAACCAAAAGAUAAGAAAAGACACUUCAUACUUACAAGAAGAUUGAAAUAAUCCCAUGCAUACUCUCAGAUCACCACAGACUAAAGCUGGUCUCCACUAACAACAAAAACAAUGGAAAGCCCACAUGCACGUGGAAACUGAACAAUGCUCUACUCAAUGGUAACUUGGUAAAGGAAAAAAUAAAGUAAGAAAUUUAUGACUUUUUAGAAUUUAAUGAAAAUAAAGGCACAUCAUACCAAAACUCAUGGGACACAAUGAAAGCAGUGCUAAGAGGAAAACUCAUAGCUUUAAGUGCCUACAAAAAGAAACUGGAGAGAGCAGCUUGACAGCUCAUCUGAAAGCUCUAGAACAAAAAGAAGCAAGCAUACUUAAGAGACAUAGACAGUUGGAAAUAAUCAAACACAUGGCUGAAAUCAACCAAGUAGAAACAAAAAGAACUAUACAAAGAAUCAACAAAAUUAGGAGCUGUUUCUUUGAGAAAAUAAACAAGAUAGAUAAACCCUAAACCAGACUAACCAGAAGGAACAGAGAAUGUAUCCAAAUUAAUAAAAUCAGAAAUGAAAAGGGAGACAUAAAAACAGAAACUGAAGAAAUUUUUAAAAAAUCAUCAGAUCCUACUACAACAAAAUUGGGAAAUCUGGAUGGAAUGAACAAUUUUCUAGACAGAUACCAGGUACCACGUACGAAGGUUAAAUCAGGAUCAGAUAAAUCAUCUAAAUAGUUCCAUAACUCCUAAAGAAAUAGAAGAAGUCAAUAAAAGUCUCCCAACCAAAAAAAGCCUAGGACCAGAUGGAAUUAGUGGAGAAUUCUAUCAGACUUUCAAAGAAGACCAAAUAUCAAUAUUUUUCAAACUAUUCCACAGAAUAGAAACAGAAGGAAUACUACCCAAUUUGUUCUAUGAAGACACAAUUACGCUUAUACCUAAACCAAACAAAGACCAAACAAAGAAAGAAAUCUUCAGACAUAUUUUCCUUAUAAACAUCGAUGCAAAAAUACACAAUAAAAUUCUCUCAAACUGAAUCCAAGAACACAACAAAAUGAUCAUUCACCAGGAUUAAGUAGGCUUCAUCCCAGGUAUGCAGGCAUGGUGCAGUAUACAGAAAUCUAUCAAUGUAAUCCACUACAUAAACAAACUCAAAGAAAAAAAUCACAUGAUCCUUUCACUAGCAUUUGAGAAAAUUCAACAUCCCUUCAUGUGACAAGUCUUGAAAAGAUCAAAAAUUGAAGGCCCAUACAUAAACACAGUAAAAGCAAUAUAUAGCAAAGCAGUUAGUAGACAACAUUAAACUAAAUAGAAACUUGAAGCAAUCCCACCAAAAUCAGGAACUAGAUAAGGCUUCCCACUCUCUCCCUACCUGAUAAAUACAGUACUUGAAGUUGUAGCUAGAGAAAUUAGACAACAAAAGGAUGCCAAAUACAAAUUGGAUGGAAAGAAGUGUAAAUUUCACUAUUUGCAGAUGAUAUGAUAGUAUAAUUAAGUGACCCCAAAAAUUCCACCAGAGAAGUCUUAUAGCUGAUAAACAACUUCAGCAAAGUGGAUGGACAUAAAAUUAACUCAGACAAAUCAGUAGCCUCUUCUACUCAAAUGAUAAACCGGCUGAGAAAGAAAUCCUUCACAAUAGUCACAAAUAACAUAAAAUACCUAGGUGUGACUCUAACAAAGAAACUGAAAGAUCUGUAUAACAAGUACUUUACAUCUUUGAAAAAAGAAAUUGAAAAAUCUCAGAAGAUGGAAAGAUCUCCCAUGCUCAUGGAUUGGCAGGAUUAAUAUAGUAAAAAUGGCCAUCUUGCCAAAGACAAUCUAUAGAUUCAAUGCAAUCCCCUUCAAAAUUCUAAUUCAAUUCUUCACAAAGUAAGAAAGAGCAAUUUGCAAAUUCAUUUAGAUAACAAAAACCCAGGACAGUGAAAACUAUUCUCAACAAUAAAAGAUCUUCUGGGGAAAUCACCACCCUGGAACUCAAGCUGUACUACAGAGCAAUUGUGAUAAGAUAAAACAAACAAAACAAAACACCUGUAUGGUAUUGGUACAGAGACAUGCAAGAAGAUAAAUGGAACAGAAUUGAAGACCCAGAAAUGAACCCACACAUAUAUGGUCACUUGAUCUUUGACAAAGGAGCUAAAACCAUUCAGUGGGAAAAAAAGACAGCAUUUUCAACAAAUGGUGCUGGCUCAACUGGAGGUCAGCGUGUAGAAGAAUGCAAAUUGACCCAAUAUUAUUUCCUUGUACAAAUAUCAAGUCCAAGUAGAUCAAGGACCUCCACAUAAAACCAGAUACUGUGAAACUUAUAAAGGAGAAAGUGGGGAAGAGCCUCGAACACAUGAGCACAGGGGAAUUUUUCUUGAACAGUUCACCAAUGGCUUAUGCCUAAGAUCAAGAAUUGACAAAUGGGACCUCAGAAAAUUGCAAAGCUUUUGUAAGGCAUAGGACAUUGUCAAUAGGACAAAAGAGCAACCAGUAGGUUGGGAAAAGAUCUUUACCAAUCUUACAUUUGAUAGAGGUUUAAUAUCAAAUAUAUAAAAGGAACUCAAAAAGUUAGACUCCAGAGAAUCAAAUAAACCUGUUCAAAAUGGGGCUCAGAGCUAAACAAAGAAUUCUCACCUGAGGAACACUGAAUGGCUUGGAAGCACCUAAAGAAAUGUUCAACAUCCUUAGUCAUCGGGGAAAUGCAAAUCAAAACAACUCUGAGAUUCCACCUCAUACCAGACAGAAUGGCUAAAAUCAAAAACUCAGGUGGCAGCAGAUGCUGGCAAGAAUGUGGUGAAAGAGGAACACUCUUCCAUUGCUGGUGGGAUUGCAAGCUGGAACAACCAUUCUGGAAAUCUGUUUGGUGGUUCCUCAGAAAAAUGGACAUAGUACUAAUGGAAAAUCCAGCAAUACCACUCCUGGACAUACACCCAAAAGAUUCUCCAACAUGUAAUAAGGACACAUGCUCCAUUAUGUUCUUAGAAGCCUUAUUUAUUAGAGCCAGAAGCUGGAAAGAACCUAGAUGUCCUUCAACAGUAGGAUGGACACAGAAAAUAUGGUACAUUUACACAGUGGAUUACAACUCAGCUAUUAAAAACAAUGAAUUCAUGAAAUUUGCAAUCAAAUGGAUGGAACUUGAAAAUAUCAUCCUGAGUGAGGUAAUCCAAUCACAAAAGAACAACAUGGUAUACACGCACUGAUAAUUGGAUAUUAUCCCAAAGGCUCGCUGUACCCAAGAUACAAUUCACAGACCACAUGAGGCCCAAGAAGUAGGAAGGCCAAAGUGUGGAUGCUUAGGUCCUUCUUAGAAAGGGGAACAAAUACAGAAGUGGAUGCAUGCAGUCAGCCAUUAGACAGAGCACAGGGACCCCAAUGGAGGUUUUAGAGAAAUGACUGAAGGAGCUGAAGGGGUUUGCAACCCCAUAGAAAGAACAGUGUCAACCUACCAGACCCCUCAGAGCUCCCAGGGACUAAGCCACCAACCAAGGAGUACAUAUGGAGAGACCCAUGGCUCCAGCCACAUAUGAAAUAGAGGAUGACCUUGUCAGACAUCAGUGGGACGAGAGGCCCUUGGUCCUGUAAAGGCCCUUGGCCCUUGGAUGGAUGACCCAGUGUAGAGCAAUUUGAGGGUGGGGAGGCAGGAGUAGGUAGAUGGGUGGGAGAACACCCUAUAGAAGCUGGGGGAGUGGGGAUGGAAUAGAAGUUUUCAGGGGGGAGGGGCAGGUAAAGGGGCUAACAUUUGAAAUGCAGAUAAAGAAAAUAUCCAGUAAAAUUAAAUAAAAUAAUUUAAUUUAAAUUUAAAUAUUUUAUUAAUAGCCUUGUAUAUGGGGUAUAAAUAUAUUUUUUAAGGUUUUACUUGGUCUACACAUAUAUGUAAAUUCACUUUCAAAGAAAGAAAUAUGAAAAGAUUAACAAUUUAGAGAGUAAUUAAUAAAGUCAAAUUAUAAAGAAGUGUCUGCUACUUUUAUAAACAUGUUGAGGUCCACUAGAAGUGAUUAUACAUAAGGAAAUUAGGUGGUCAUGAACAGAGGACCUGGGGUCUGGCAAACUCUUGAUGUUGUUAUUAUAUGAACAUGAUUGACUUAAGAAGUUUUAGGGAACUGUCUCCUGGGAAGAGCUUAUUUUUGUACAUGACUACUACCUCCUUGCAAUGCCAGCUGUCUGUUCCUGAGAUGGAUAACCCAAAUGUCAUUUCCAAGGAAGAUGGCUUCCAAGAAGAGAUCAAGAGGGCAGUUGAGGAAUUGAGAGUUAAGUGGGAGAUCUAGGAUUGAAACAUCAGGUACUAACUCCAUCCCACUUCUUACUUGGGAGACUGUCUCUAAUAUGCAGUAUUGGGAAUGUGGGGGGGGGGCUGAGGACUGCAAAGAUUAUCCAUCAGUGGAGUAGGCAUUUGUGCUAUUUGCAGUCUUUAGAGGAAAACGUUUCCAGUUAGCUGUGAGAAACACUUGCUCCUUCUGUUUCAGAGGUCAUUAUGAGUGAGGUAGGUGUGGGAUCUAUUCCUUUUGGCAACAGCAUCAUGGAAGGAAAGGGAGAGCCAGGAUUAUCUCACAAAUAGAAAGGAACAGCAAGUUUUACACCCACUGCUUUUUAAAAUGAUAGCAGUGAAGUCUGACCUGAAUUGAGUAAGGCACUUGAGAUGACUCUGCUGGCAUUCUUAACCCUCUCACAUGAGUAGUUCUCGAGACACCACACCACCAAGGAAAAGAGAACAUAACACAAAGGAUGCUACAUCUGAGCAGAAAGCACAUAGAAGUAAUGGAGGUUCCCCUCAACUCCAUUUAUGUGCCUUGGUGAGUACUAUCAGCAAUCAAAAGAGGAAGAAACCUUUCCUCAGGUUUCAGACCUGGUCUUGGAUGGUAGAUUUCAUUUUCAAGUCAGGCUGAUAUUUUAAGUAUGGACUAAAACUGACUUUAGCACAAAAGUAUUCUUCAGGAAUAAAGAUUGAAUAAAACAUGUUUGUUCCUUGAGGAUAUUAUGCUGUUUUCCAGAAUUUUAAUAAUGCAUACAAAGCUUUAGAAACUUGGUAUAACGGGUUCAUGAUGUCCUUAGGAUGGUAGGAUGCUUGCCCAGCAUACUUUUUGCCCUCCCUUCAACUCCCAGCAGCUCAGAAGGUGGACAUGGUACUGCACAGGUGUAAUUCUAGCACUAAGGAGGUAGAUGCAGGAGAAACACAAGUACAAAGUCCUCUGCAGCUUAAGUGAAUUCUAGGCAACCUGGAUAACAUAAGAACACCCUUCCCCCAAGACACACACACACGCACACACACACACACACACACACACACACACACACACACACACACCACAUAAGCCUGGUGAGAUGACUCACUGUAACCUGGUGAUCUGCGUUAGAUCCCUAGAACAUAGUAGAAGAACCGACUACCACAAGGUUGUUCUCCAACUUUCACAUGUUUGUGAUGGUACAUACACACACCCCAAAUAAACAGAAGAUAAUAAAAAUAAAUACAAGUCAAUACAGCACUUUGCUUAGCAUUUAAAUUUUUUACUGGUGACUUUAUAGUGGCUCUUCUUAAAUGGCAAUUCUUACUCAGUUGUUUUUGACUGUGAAGAUGUGUUAUGUCAGAAGUGGUACUUUAGAACUUGUAGAUUGAAGAGAUCUAAGAGCCAGGCACUGCUGUUAAUUCAGCCAAGUGAGAAACUGUGUGUACUCUCCCCAUCACCUCGUCUAUAGACAUGUUAAAAAUAGUAAUGUAUGUGCAUGACAUAUUAUUUAUUUAGUCUCCCUAGACUGAAUGUGAAUGUGGAUUUACAGACCCCUCACAAUAAAUUCUGCUACCCUCAGGGGUCCAAGACCUACUGCUUGAAAUCCACAGAGCAGGACAGGCUUAUGAUUGAUGACAACGAGGAGGGCCUAGGGCACAUCUGCUAGUCUUCCAUGGCUUUCAUCCUCCCAGCCCUCACACAGCCUCCUUGAAAUGCCACACUCUGCUGUGUUUACUGGAAAUGUUUUCUGUAUAAACUUCAAAAAGUUAGUUAUGACUCUCUACAGCAGAAACAUUUUUCAUAAAAAAAUGAAGUGUACCUUGGAUGAAGAUUUAUUCAUCAAAGAAAAAUGAUUUUUGAUUUAGGAUCUACUAGGUCUUUAAAUGUGCAUAAUAGUACUUUAAGUGGGAGGUGAAUAUACACUUGUUUAAUGCAUAAUUUUCUAUACUUUUCUGAUAAAAUAUCUAUCAGUACAUUAAGGCAAAAGAUUCCCACAUAUAGUACCUAAAGACACAUAACUUUGUGUUCUCAUCACUAUGUAUACAUUGUAGUUGCAAUACAACAACAAAGUCUACCAAUGAAGACAGUAAUGCUACACAAUGCAUAGCCAAGUAUCACUGUAAGUUCACUUUCUAGAGCCUUCUGGAAUUUCUUUCUCUCCACUGAUUUUUGUCAAAGCUUAUGAUUCAAGAUAUAAGCGUAUAUAUCUAUCCAAUUUUGUUUCCUACCUCACCCAUUUUUUAUUGUCUUCUUUUUGGUUAAUCCUAGGAAGAGUCCCCUCCCCCCCCAGAAAUGCCUUGUUGUGGAUUGUCCUAAUAAUGUUUGUAUUUUGAUGUUUGUUUUGUUUCCUCAAGCAGGAUUGCCCCUGACAAGCAACAUCACAUACUCAGAUCAUCUCAUGUGAACCUUCUUCCCAUUUAACUGGUCAAUCAGGCUAGAGCCUGUGAUUGGGCAGUGGAAAGGAAAGGUGGGACUGAAUGCUUGAGAGUGUAUACAGGUAGAGGAGAGAAGAGGACAAGAGGGGAAGGAUGGAGGACAAAGCCAGAAGAGGAGGAGGAAGGCAUGAUGGACUAGAAACGCAUGGGCAGGAGAAACUGCAAGUAAGAAGGGGACUUAUAGCUGGGAAAUAUGUUAGUAUAGUGUUAGAUCUGACCAAUUUAGGCAUACAGCUUACAAUUAUAAUAACUGGAUUGUGUGUUUUUAUAUGGGUUUAUUGGGGUUGGAAAUUCCAAAAACAGUGCCUUAGAUAAUUAUUUUAAAUCUUUCAUAUAUGAAUCUGCACUCACGUCUAUCCACUUUUUUUUUUUUUGCACCAACAAUACCUUUCUUGCUUUCUUUUUAUCAUGGAACAACUUUCCUGUCAGUUUGUCCUCCUUUGCUUUCUGUGCACACUUUUGUCACAACCAGUUUCAAUCAACGCUGUUCUGAUUUCCAGCCCUACUAUGUAGCUAUCUUCUACUUUUUGGGUUCUUUUUCCUUCCACCAUCCUCUAACCUCUUUCUACCCUUUAAUCCCCCUAAACACUAGAUAAAAGAGAAAAAAGUUAGAAAAGAAAGGAAAUAUUCCUGAAUAAAGUCAGGAGUCAGAAAGGGAGCAACAUUAUCAUUAGACUAUUUUUUGCGAAUUAGGGGCAUUGAGUUCCUUGAGACAAGUUUGAUCUUCACAAUUAGGAUAUCUAAUUUCUUUCUUUCUUUCUUCUUCUUCUUCUUCUUCUUCUUCUUCUUCUUCUUCUUCUUCUUCUUCUUCUUCUUCUUCUUCUUCUUCUUNNNNNNNNNNNNNNNNNNNNNNNNNNUUCUUCUUCGUCUUCUUCUUCUUCUUCUUCUCCUUCUCUUCCUCCUCCUCCUCCUCCUCCUCCUCCUCCCCUCCUCCUUCUUCCUCUUCUUGUUUCUUCUUUGUAACAACUACUUAACAAACUAAGACCAAAAGCAACCAAUCAACAACCACCAACCCAACAACUGUAUUGGAGCCCUAGCAUUUAUAUAUCCUCUCAAAAGUUCCCAUAAUUCCAAAUAUGCAGAAACUAUCUGGAGCUGGCAAAAUCACACCCUCACUAGAGCAAGAGACAAAUCACAGUUGCAGUGGACAAUGUGAAACAGGCCUAUAUUUCAUACCUGAGAUUAAAAAAAUCAAUUUCUAAUAACAUUUCUAUGUAUUUAUUUAAAUAAACCAAAAAUUCCAAAAUUCUCAUUAUACCAAUAUUUCAUUGAAAAGUUCUUAUCACAAAGACAAGUUAUGUAGUAUCUAGAUCUAAGUUUAGCCCAUUACUUCUCCUUCACUGACUCUUACAGUAGUGUGUACAUACUGAUCUUCCUUAAAUAUUUCCUUUGGUUUGAUUCCUUCGUUCCUUUAUUCAGGAAGAUUUGCUCAUAUAUAGGAUAGAACACAGGAAAAGAAAGGCUGAGUUCUUGAGCUAGAAGUCUGAGAAACUAGAAACCUAAACAUGAGGCUGCAGAAGAGUAAGCACCAUGGUUGAUGAGACACAGUUUGAUAGAGGACUUAAGAGCAAUACCUUCUUAAGAUCAGAAGUGUCUAGGGAAACUUCCUGGGAAAGGUGACACUUAAUUAGAGACACUUGUCAGAUGAAUCAUCCAGAGAGCAUGGUAAUGUAAUGAAAAGGACCAUGAAGGCAGAAGAGCUCAUGUAAAGGGGUUCAGUGUCAGAAGGGAAGAAGGGAGGGGAAGAGACAGAGAGAAAAAGUCAUAGAGCUAGAGACAGAGACAGAGAAAGACAGAGACAGAGAGAUAAGGCACAUGCACAUAGAGAUACAUACAUACAUACAUACAUACAUACAUACAUACAUACAUAUAUACACAGACACAUACAGAUACAAACAUACAUACAGACACAGAGACACACAGACACACAUAAAGACAGACACAUACUUAGACAGACACAGUCAGACAGACAGACACAGACACAGAGACAGACACUGACAGACACAGAUAGACACAUAGAUCGACUCCUAAGAACAGACAGAGACAGACAGACAGACACAGAUAGAUAGACAUACACAGUCAGACAGACAGACAUAUAUACAGACAGACACACAGACACAUGGACACAUAGACACACAAAAAGAAACAGACAGGCAAACAUAUACAGACACAGAGAGAGACAGAAUAGUCAGAGACAGACAGACACACAGACAGAUGAACACACAGAGGAAAUGAACCAAGAGAGAGGGAGGGAGGAAAGGAAGGAGGAAGAAGAAGGAGAAGAAGAAGAAGAAGGAGGAGGAGGAGGAGGAGGAGGAAGGAGAAGAAGAAAGAGAAGGAGAAGGAAAGAAGAAGAAGAAGAAGAAGAAGAAGAAGAAGAAGAAGAAGAAGAAGAAGAAGAAGAAGAAGAAGAAAAGAAAAAAAGAAGAAGAAGAUAAGAAAGAGAGAGAGAGAGAGAAAGAGAAGUUUGGGUGGAGUGUGAUGAAGAGAAUGGAAAAAUAUAUCACCCCAAGGAGGUCACAUCACAUCAUGGCAGGCUUUGUGGGAUAAUUCGAGAUUAGAGUGUUUAAUGGUGCAGAAAUAUCAUAAAGAACAUAGAUGUUAAAUUUUCUGAGGUUGGAGAAAGGGUUGGAAAUGUGGCAAAGGUAGCUGAAGAGCUUCAGGAGGCCAUGGCAUCAAUUCUGUGUAAAUUGUUAUACAGGCACCAGGCAUGAGGGAAUGGUGUUUCCUUUAUGCAGCAGUAAGUUCUCUCUUUCCAACCACACUGUUAUGGAUGUUGGUGAUGUGGAAAUCAGUGUUAAAGGAGGGAGGGAGGAAGGGAAAGGAAGAAGAAAAGAAUGAAGGAGAGGAGAAGGGGAGUGGAAGGAGAGAGAGUUGAAUUAAUGCCACAUGGGAAGAAAUAAAAUGCUUUGCAGAUUGACUGGAAGCCAGAGGAAGGUAUAACAUCUGGUCUUAGAAGUUCAUAAAACUAGGACAACCACCCAUAUGGUGGUGCCAUUCAUGCCACUGAAAAGUACUCAAGUAGGAAUGUGGUGUCCCUAACAGUGGAAAGGGUUGUGGUUUCAGUUUUACUUUACUGUUGUUUUCCAAAAGAAAACAUACUAUAAAGGCAGGAGACACCUAGAAAGGUAUUGGUUGUUUAUAAACAGCUAGCAAAAGAAAGAGAUAAUAAGGAUUUUUUGUACUAGGAACUUUAUCAGAGAUUAUGUCUGAAUGACCCACAAUAUAAAACAUGGGGACUAUGGUUCUGGAGGAACCUCUUUUUCUCAAGAGACAGAAACUACAGAUCUGGAUUCAUGGCUCUUUAUAUUUGAUAUCAAGGAUUCUGAGACAAAAAUCACAUCCUUACAUCCUUACGGCUACAUGUAUUUCUUCAAUGAUGGAGAACUUGCCUACAUACAUUUGGUCCUAGAGUUGAAUCUUGGCUCUACAAAAGAAUAAACAAAUGUAAAGCACAGAUAUAUUAAAUGAGCAAACUUUAAAAAAGAAUCACACAUACAGUAUCUGAAGCCACAUGCCUUUGUGUUAUCACCAUGCUUAAGAGUGAUAUCAGUCUUCAGAGGGACUAAGGAGAGCAUGGUGAAGUAAAAGAAUCCUUAGAAGAGUUUUAUGCAAAAUUUAAGGGCCUUUACUUUCUCAGGAUCCUGCCAAGGGCUGUGCACAUAGCCAGCUCUGAGGUUUGUAAGUCAGAAAAAAAUUUAUAGUAGUAAAUACUGACAUGUGAAAUAUAAGGAAAGAAAACAACAGCUUUUCAAUUUUCAUCAGUUUCCUCCUCCUUUUGUAUUUUAUGACCCACAUAAAGUUUGCAGCACAAGUCACAUUUUUGCAAAAUCAUUGCUUUGAGGACUAUAUGAAGCAAUAGGUUACAAAAGGCUCUCUCUCUCUCUCUCUCUUUUUAAAACCAGAACUGCAUUUAAGCCACUUUCAAGAAUUCCCGUAUAUUGCUACAUACUUGACCACUUUCAGUGACAUUUUGGAUAUUGUACAGGGAGAAGUUUCACAGUUCUUCUAGAGAGAUAAAUUCAAGAAAAAAAUGAACCAUUUUUGUGUGUUAUGAAUAUAAGCUUUCAGUUCACAUUCUCACUCCCCAUCAUUUAUCAAGUCCUAAAUCUCUGCCCAUGCCAACAUAUUAUCAAUAUAUUAUACAACCUGCCUUAUGAAAAGGCUAUUUCCACACCAUUAAGAACGUCAAUUUUAUUUUGCCAACUUAGAACUAUUUUUAAGAAAUUUCAUUUAGUUGUAUCUUAUAGUCUGAUAUUUGUUUCCUGAAAAAUCUGUAAAUUCUUGCCAGUUUAUGAAAUACUAUAGCAUCUACAAGGGUCAGAGGUUAUCUAUGGCAAAAUUUCUGUAAACACAGAAUGGUCAACUUCCCAACAGUGUCUUCUAAGACGGUGGCCAACUCCCUUCUCUGUGUUAGUCAUGGUUAGUCACACAGGGAGGGACUUAACUCUGCUUACAAAAAAAGUGAUUGUUCCACUAUCCUCAGGGAUGGGGUUAGUCACCAGGGUGCUCCCUGGGGCAUUCCACUUCAUCCGUGCUUCCCCCAGGGCAGUAUUGUACUCACACAAAAGUGUCAGCAGAGAUCCUUGAUUCAGGCACAAGGGCAACUAUUGCUCAGGUCAACUCACCCAGUCCUCGGAACCACCUGGAAUUAUUGGCUGUAUUUUAGAGAUUACAAAGCUGAAGUUUGGAAAGAAAAGACAUUUUCCUAGGGUCAACCAGAAUUGGGUUUUGAACUGAGUUUGGCUCGAGAGUCUGCUUUCAUAAUUAUCACACCAAUGCCUUCCAGAUUUUGUUCCCAAAGGAAGAAGAACUGGGGCAUCCUACCCCAGUCACAGCAUCUCCUUAGCUGUUAUUUUGUAUACUGAAGUUCCAUGAGAAACUUACACACAGGGGGCAACAGCCACACUAUUAAAACUACAGGAAACUUUUGAAUCAAGACACCCCUCUGCACCUCUGAGGUACAGCAUGUGGAUGCUGUGUUGCUUACUUUAGGCCCCCCAAAUAAAUGGUCAACUCAAAUAAUCCUGCUGGAUUAUAUCAGUAAACUGUGGGUUAGAUCAAUUUAGGCCUGCCAAAGUGAUCAAGUGAGAAGGCAGUAUAGCUUAACUAACCUUUUGGUGUUCCACGUGCUCACCACUACAGUAUAAAUAUGAAGGCCAUGGAUGUCUAGUGAACUUAGCAGUAUAGAGGUUAUUGAAGAAUAGAUAAAAACUUAAAAACAUCCUUGUCCCAGCUGGGCUUUGUUCAUAGUGUGGGCAUUUGGGGCAUGAACUUCUGUUUGGGUGCAACAACUCAAGAGCACACAGUCUAAGAUGACAGAGAAGGGAGCCAAGAGAGGGACAGAAACCUAAGACCCCAACCAGGUGGCUUAGUUAAAAUCAUAAACAAUGACCAGGACAGGAUGACAGAGGAAAGAAACUACCAUUCACAUAGGCUGAAGGAGGAAGUGUUUAUCUUGAAACUUUCAAUGUAAAGAUUUCAACCAUAGCCUUGCCCUGCUGGGGCUUAUACAUAAGAUGUGCUCACACUCAGUCUUUCAAGUUUGAUUUAUAGAGAGUAAAUGGUUUAUUCUAGAAAAAUGUCACUGAGGCAAAUCAAUAAAUUAUAUCAUAUACUUUUUUAUAUAUUACUGCUUUUGUAUCGUUGUAAUGACACAUUGAAAUAAUUAAAAUAUUCACUGAUCAUCUAUUGUACAUUGCACUAGACAGAGGUUAUAGGGAGAGUGGACCACACUAAAUUCCUGUUCUGACCACAUUUAUAGGAAACGAUGGUUAAAAAUAAAUAAACAUCCAAUUUAGAAUGGCAGUUUCAGAUACUUGGAAUGAAAAACAUUACUAAUCAGGGCACUGAGACUAGCUUUGUUAUAGGCAGUGAAGAGGGACAUUCUAUACAGAGUGGCUAUGGAAUUCCUCAGAUGGCAUAAACUGUGAAAUUGUACAGAAACAACACAAAACAGAAAAAUUUGAAAACUAGGUAGUGAUAUAAGGGAAGGAACAUUCCUGCAUUCCUUCUAAGAGGUACAGCACACACAAAGGCAUCAAGGCACCUUCAUUGCUUGAGUGUGCUUGGAGCAGAGAGUGGGCACAGAGGAACAGACACAUAAACAACAUGGAGAUGAAGUCGAUGUGGUGGGCAAGCUGGUUAUCCCCAGAUAUUUGUAAGCCACAACAAGGACUGUGACUUGAAUUUGAAUGCUAGAGGCAUCAUGAGGAGAGAAAGGUUGCAAUAUGACAUUUCAAUUACUUGUGUCUGUGUGUGGAGUUUCAAAACCGAUGGGGAUGGUCCUGCCAUUAUUCAAGUGAGGGGGAUGCUGACUUCGAGUCGCCGUGAAAUUAGUAAAACAUGAAGAUUCUGGGUGUAUUCUGCUGGAAAGUAAGUGUAGAUUGUAAGGGAAAAAAACCAACAAAUCAAAGAGGACUAAGGAAAUGGAAUUGUUGUGCAUAGAGUGGGAAAGACUGGUUCAUAAAGAUGUUUGAAAGGUUUUUCUCCCCUUGAGACAAAGUUAGCCCUGACUAUCUUCAAACUUGCUACAGUUCUGCUAACUCUGCCUUCUAAAUGCCGCAGUUAUGGAGGUGUGCCCUCACAUCCUUAUUAUAGUGUUUUCUUCUUAUGAGGGUGCAAAAGUAAUUGGAGGAUCUCUAUUCUUGUGACUUUAUGUAUCUAUACCAAUUACCUCACUACCUUACUGCCAGUGUGGGGAGAGGCUUCACCACAUAAAUAUUACAUGGAGCAAAAUUUAGUCCCCAAUAAGAGACAAUGUACAAAAGAAGAGACUGCCAAACUGGACAGCCUUUCACAGCCUUUUACAGCCUUUCACAGGCAUUAGCAAACUUAGAAAGAAAUAAAAAGAUCUAAAGUGGGGCAUUAUGAAGAUUAGUAAACACGGACUGUUUUAAUUACUAACAUUGUAGGAUGACUAUGAUGAGACUUGGGAAUGGCCACGGAUUUUAGCAAUGUGAAUAACUUGGUGAUACGAAGAACUUGUUUGUGCUAUAGUACAAAUGAUUGCCCCAUGGCCAUGAAUUUCACCAGAACAUGGGAAGUAAGAUAAUUAUUCAUUAAUGGUGGAGAAUAAUCACUUCUGUAAAGAAGAAAUCCCAGUAAGACUUUGUGGAGCAAAGAAGAGAACCAUGGAGAACAGUGUACUUCAGUCCUGGUACUUUUUGAGGAUAUACUUGAGAUGAUGAAUAGGAGGAUAGAAGGAAUGAUUGGAGGAAGACAGCAGAGAUGGAACACAGGUCUGCUGGCCUUCUGGCCAUGUGGGUCCCUCACGAUAGAAGUGGAGAACUACUGAAUAGUUGUGAGACCUAAAACAGAACAUCAGCAAUUGUUGACACUUAAGUCCCCAGGAAGUAUAUCCCAAAGACCUCUUCUCUGGUUGAAAUUAGAAAAAAAAUGAUUCAGACUGUUUUAUCUUCUCAGAUUUUUGGUUUUGCCUUGCACUAGAUACUGCAGUUGAGAAUUGUGCAAUUGGUGGCGUGUCUACAGGGCAGAGACCUUUGCUCUUGAUGGGUAUACUUCUCUGCUUAUCAUGGCACAGAGCUGAGUGGUAUCUCAUCUAGACACUGAGAGUUUUGCUCAAUGCUUUACACGGGAACUAAUCACAUAAAGGGUUAGGAUCUUAGCCUUAUGAAGACAUCAUGUCUUCUCAUGACACAGAAUGGAAAGUCAUGCUAGAGGUCCCAGAUCUCUGGAGGGUAGACAACAUGCAGUAGAGUCAUAAAACAUGUUAAUUCUCUUACAUUUUCCUCUUAGAAGUUUCCUUUAUUUUCACAGAAAGUCGGGUCUGAUGACCUAAACUAAGCAUGCUGACAUCAAAUUUCCAGAUUCUGGGAUACUCACAUUAUUUAGCUACUUAAAACCACAGUGAGCUUCCAACAGUUAUUCAGAAGAGCCCCUGUGCAGGCAAGUAUCCCAUCAGUUUAUGGCAGGCUCUGAAAAAAUUUACUUGAAUGGGAGUUCUGUUGCCUUUUGAGCAGAGUGGUUGUCUGAAACAAAUUUACUGUACAGUAAGUUGUAUUUCCUGACGUAACUAAGUUCCCGUCUAAUGGCCUUAGAGUGCAGCUCCCAGGAGUCAUAAUGCUUUUUGCACACAAGCUUGCAAGGGCUCAGUGCAGACUUGGGCAAAUAAACCCCUCUGUGCACAAAGGGUUCUAGAAAUCUCUUGCAGACAAUCCAAACAACAUAGCCUUCCCACUCUUUACCUUUCCCUUAGCUUAUACUUCUGAGUUUUUGUUAACAUUUAAAAAAGAUAUUUAAAGCUGCAUUUUGUUCACCUUGUAAAAUGAAAGAGUACAUUGUACAGGCACUGGAGGUACACGUCAGUGCUUUUAUCAAGUCAGGGGCCUGCUCUGCAGCAUUAAUUGGAAACAUGUGUUGAAAAUUCAGGGCAGGUUUCUCAGUGUCUCUUUAAUUUAGUAGAAUAAAAUAAGAACUAAACUCACAUUUCUUUAUGAGGCCAGUCUGUUGGAGUUGUUCUAUUAGCAGGUCUGAUGGAUGACUCUGAUGGACAAUACUGGUACCUGUGUUUAGGCUGCUGGGAUGCUGGUAGUUGUUCUAUUUAAGACCUUAUUCAUGGUUCUACUACACUUUCAGGCACCAUUAUAGAGGACUUGUUGUAACUGAUUCUCUGAAAGUUAGCUGAGGGAUGCUGAUAGAAAGCAUAAUUGAUUUCAAAGACACCGGAUGACCGACACAUGAAAGAUUUUCAAAUAGCCAUAUGUCAGAAGCUAAAUCUGCAAAGUCUCACCAGUAUGACUGCCUAAACAUGACCUGAAGAAAGAGAAGAACAGAAGACAUGACAAAAUGGACAGGGGAAGGACAGUGAAGCCUCACCCUACACUAAGACCUACAGGAAACCAAUGAGUAUGGAAAGUGAGAGAAUUAGUCUUCUCCAGGGAAAAGCACAUCAAUUGGUUGUAUGUUAUGUGUAGCUUUUUGCUACCCCACCUAUGCUCCAGGAACGGACCUAGCUACCAGACCCCUCCCAGCUUCCCAUGAAUCCACGCAUAAAACACACACACACAGUUCAUUUUCUUUCUUUCUUUCUUUUCUUUCUUUCUUUCUUUCUUUCUUUCUUUCUUUCUCUCUCUCUCUCUCUCUCUCUCUCUCUCUUUCUUUCUUUCAAUUGUCAUCAGGAUGUUUACUGGAUAUUUUCUUUAUUUACAUUUCAAAUGUUACUCCCUUUCCCAGUUUUCCCCCUGGGAACUCCCUAUUCUAUGUUCCCUUCCCCUGCUUCUAUGAGGGUAUUCUCCUACCCACUCCCACCUCCCUGCCCUCUAAUUCCCCUACACUGGGGCAUCGAUCUUCACAGGACCAAGGGCCUCUCCUUCCAUUGAUGCCCAAUAAAGCCAUCCUGUGUUGCAGUAUUUUCCCUAUCCAAUUACAUUAGGGAAGCAAGAGGCUUGUGAUUGGACAGGGAAAAGGGAGGCGGAGCUAAGAGUUGCAGAGACAGAGAAUGUCUAGAAAGGAGAAGUGAAUACAGGUUUACUUCCUUCUCCAUCCUCACCUUCUCCUUUCUCUUUCUGAGACACUCUCUGUCUCUGUAACUCUUAGCUCCGCCUCCCUUUUCCCUGUUCAAUCACAAGCCUCCUGCUGUCCUAAUGUGACUGGACAGGGAAAAUCCUGCAACAAUCCUCUACUACUAUGUGGCUGGAGCCCUGGGUGCCUCCAUUUGUAGUUAAGAAAUAGUAUUCAUUUCAAUAUUACUACAUUGCUCUUUUUUAAAAAUUUUCAUUUAUUUAUUUACUUACAUCUUAAAUGCCGCCCUCACCUGGUCCCUCCUCACAGCAAUACUAACCCCAUUGCUCCUCCCCUCCCCUCUGAGACAUUGGGUCACCACUGGGUAUCCUCCCAUCCUCUCACUGUAAGUCUUUGCAGGAUUAGGCACAUCCUUUCCCACUGAGGACAGACAGGACAGCUCUGUAGGGGAAGGGAUGCCACAGUCAAGGUACAGCUUUAGGGAGAGCCUCUGCUCUAGCUUUUGGGAGGCCCACAUGGAGACUGAGCUGCACGUCUGCUACAUAUGUUUUUUGGUUGGUGGCUCAGACUCUGAGGAGCUUCUAGUGGUCCAAGAUCAUUGACUCUGUUGGUAGUCCUGGGUCGUUCCCAUCCCCUUCAGGGCCUUCAGUCCUUCUCCCAACACUCCCAUAAGAGUCCCAGACUUCCAACCAAUAUUUGACUGGGGGUAACUGCAUCUGUUUUUGUCAACCGCUGGUGAGAGCCUUUCAGAGGACAGUUAUGCUAGACUCCUGUCUGUAAACAUAAAAAAAUAUCAAUUAUAGUGUCAGGAGUUGGUGCUUGCCCAUGGGAUGGGUUUCAAGUUCAGCCACUUAUUGAUUGGCCAUUCCCUCAGUCUCUGCUCCACCUUUGUCUUGCAAUUAAUUUAGACAGGACAAAUUUUGGGUUGAAAGUUUUGAGGGUGGGUUGAUGUAUCCAUUCCUCCAUUGGGGGUCCUGCCUGGCUGCAGGAGGUGCCCUCUUCAGGUUCCAUGUUCCCACUGUGUCUCCUCCCUGGUUUUAGUGAGAUUGCUUCAUGUUUCUCUCCAUUUAAUUUGAUGUUGGCUGUUGGUUUGCUGUAUAUUGGUUUUUAUAUGUUUAGGUAAGUGCCCUGAAUCACUGAUCUCUCCCAAGACUUCUAACAUAAAGGGGUGUAGGAUUGUGGAAGGGUAUUUUUCUGCAUUCCAUAGGAUUAUGAUAUGAUUUUUUUCUUUCAAUUGGUUUAUAUAGUGGGUUACAUUAGUGGAUUUGCUUAUAUGGAACCAUCCAUGCAUUCUUGGGGUGAGGCCUACUUGAUUGUGGUGAAUAAUGAUUUUGAUGUGUUCCUGGAUUCUGUCUGUGAUAAUUUUCUGGGUAUUUUUGUGUCAAUGUUUAUAAGUGAAAGCAGUCUGAACUUCUCUUUCUGUGUUGAAUCUUUGUGUAGUUUAGGGAUCAGGAUAAUUGUGGCCUCAACAAAUGAAUUAGAUAGUGUUCCUUCUGUUUUUAUUUUUGUGGAAUACUCUGAGGAGUAUUGGUAUUAGCUCUUCUUUGAAAGUCUGGUAGAAUUUUGCACUAAAAUCACCUUGCCCAGGGCUUUUUUGGUUGGGAUAUUUUUAAUGACUGCCUCUAUUUCCUUAGGGGCUAUAGGACUGUUUGAACAGUUUUCCUGAUCUUGAUUUAACUUUGGUAAGUGGUAUCUGUCUAGAAAAUCAUCCAUUUUGUUUAGAUUUUCCAUUUUUGUGGCAUAUAGGCUUUUGAAGUAUGACCUAAUGAAUUUUUAAAAUUUCCUCUCUUUCUGUUUUUAUGUAUUCCUUUUCAUUUUGAUUUUGUUAAUUUGGAUACUGUCUUUCUGUUUUUCUUAAAAACCAGCUCCUGGUUUUGAUGACUCUUUUAUAGUUCUAUUUCUUUCUAAUUGAUCGUAGUGCUUACAUUUCCAUUGAAUUCUAGAAAGUAUUUAACUUUUUCUUUUUCUUUCUUUCUUUCUUUCUUUCUUUCUUUCUUUCUUUCUUUCUUUCUUUCUUUCUUUCUUUCUUUCUUUCUUUCUUUCCUGACCAAGUUAUCCCUGAGUAGAGAGUUGUUCACUUUCAGUGAGUAUGUGGGAUUUCUGUUGUUAGGUUGUUUUCAGUGAGUAUGUGGGUUUUCUGUUGUUAGUUUGUUGUUGAGAUCCAGCCUUAAUUCCUGGUAAUUAAUUCUGAUAAAAUGCAUGCGAUUAUUUCAAACUUUUUCUUACUGUUGAGGCUUGCUUUGUGCCCUAUUGUAUGUCAAAUUUUGGAGAAAGUUCCUGUGGUGCUAAGAAGAAAGUAUAGUUUUUUUGGGGGGUGGAGAGGGAAGGUCUAUAAAUAUUUGUUAAAUGCAUUUGGUUCAUAACACAUUAGUUCCAUUGUUUCUCUUUUUAGUUUCUAUCCGUGAGAGUGGGAUGUGGAAGCCCCCUACCAUUAUUGUGUGGCGCUCAAUGUGUGAUCUGAGUUUUAGUAAUGUUUCUUUUGUGAGUCUAGGUUUCCUUGCUUUUGGGGCAUAGAUGUUAAGAACUGAGUGGCCCCCAGAUUGUUAAUUUCAUGUGUGAAUGCUUUUUGGUAUGAAUCAAAGUUAUAGCAUUUCCAAAGAUGUUGGAUGUUUAAUUGGUGAGCAUUUCCAAUGAUGCUUGAUGUUUUAUUGGUGAAUGUUCCUGGGUAUGAAGUACAGUUUGAUGAUGUCCCACACAACUUAGGAAUGAAGGAGCUGCAUAGCCUACAGACAGAUCUGAACCCUUUGGGUGUACAUGGUUGUGCCUGCCUCAUGUCUCCUUCCAAAUUUUUACUCAGAGCAUAGAUCCAACUAAGUCAUCUCUAUCCUUCCACUGCAAAUCUUCUAGAUCUGUACAUUAACAUCCCCUGAGCUUUAUAUGGCACAGAUUUCCCUUCAGACAAACUUCAAGGAUUCUUGAAGGCGAGUUCAAAACUUCACUUAUAGAAUUUUUCUGGUCUCUCAACUGUUCUCUAACUUUCUCAAAGAAAUGAGAGUAUAACAAUAUUCUAGGGUUGUGAUGGAGAAAUGGACUUCAGAAAUGGCAAUAUUUAGGGGAUGAAGAGAUGGCUCAGUGGUUAACAGAAGUUCUCAGCACUCACAUCAAGAGUCUAUAACUCCACCUCCUGACAAUCCAGUGCCUUCUGGCCUAUAUAGAGACCUACACUCAUGAUACAAUCCUUCCCCAUACAAACACAGAAAGAAAGAAAUGUAAAUCUUUAGAAAAUAGCAAUAUUUUAUGUAGUUCUGAAGAAAAUACCACUUUUGUUAUUGUAUUUUUUCUAAUGUAACUCUUGCUGAAUAUACAAAUCUUACUAAAUUUGAAUAAUCUUUGAUAAGUUAUUGCAUAAGAAAAGCUGUAUCUGGGCUGGUAAGCUAGUUUGCUCAGUGGGUUAUGAGUGCUUGACAUGACACCUAACACUUGAGUUCAAUCUUCUGAUUGCAUGACAUACAUGAGCUCACACUCAUACACCUACCAUAGAGCAAGCAAUCAUUUUUAUGUUUGACCUACUGUUAAUACCUGACUACACUUUUGUAAUGCAGUGUAUCUACACUGGCUUAGACAGGUUUCCUGGAAGUCUCACUGUAUGGACUGGGCUCUAGCUUGCAGAGCAGACUCAGUUAUGAUCUGUAAGUCAUCAUAGGCCAGGCAUGGGGAACAGCAACUCCCUGGAGAAUUGCUACUUGAAAUCUUUCGAAAAUAAAAUGUAUUAAAUUUUCUUGCUAGUUUAGUAACACUCCUGCCCCUACUUAAAGAGCCAUUUAAGUAAUAAAAGUCCUGGAAGGGAAGGAAACAGGAAGUGUUUCACAGUAUGCAUACAUUAGAUCUAGCUCUGAAAAGCAAAGUAUCAGGGCCACAUCAGGCAACGCCUUCCCUCAUCAUGAGUCCCGAGAAUCCUCUUCUCUCUGCCAGUUUGCUAGGAGUUGUUGAUGAUGAUUUCUGAUUUUUCUUCCUCUUUUUCCUCUUCCUCUUUCUCUUCUAUUUCUUCUUUUCUUCUAUUUCUCUUCUCUUCUAUUUCUUCUUUUCUUCUAUUUCUCUUCCUCCUCAUCUUCCUCUUCUUCUUUCUUCCUUCUCCCUCCUCCUUCUUUUAUUUUCCUUUUAGUUUCUUCCUAAAUUACAUAUUGGCUUCUCCAGAAAAUACACGUUUAAACAAGCCAUGCACCCAUCUCAUUUCAUUUAAUUUUCUGGUCUCUCAGUCUCAUCACCUUGACUAGGACUGGGAAGUGAGGCAGCAGGAAAUUGUAUAAAACAAUGUGUAACAUAUUGGCUAGCUAUGGCUCAAAAUCCUAAAAUCCACUAUCAAUUUUUUUUUUUUUGGUGGUGGUGGUGGUGGGGAAAUCCCUAUCUAGAAAGAUCUGACCUACUUUCCUUGCUACUUUGGUUCAUGUAGCUCUGCUUUUGAAUGAAGGGCUUAUUUGUAGGUGCUGCAUGUUAUUAGCAGGAAUUCAGACAUAAGCAAUCAAGGCAUACAGGCCAGCACUAAGUAACAGAAAACAGCAAACAAUCAAUAAAUAUUCCUUGUUUUUGCUUUCAACUAUGAGUAGUUCUCAAAAAAUAAAUAAAUAAAAAGAAUUUCUUCUAAGAUCCUAGUGAGAACACAUGACAUCAACAUGGUCGCCAUCAUGGUGGGGCAUCUAAGCAUGACCCUCUCCUUUCAUGUUGUCACACUUUCUUGACUUCUGGAUGAUAUCUCUAUGACAAUUACUUUCAGAAAUGUCCUUAUCACUCUCAUAGCUUUUGGCAAAGAGCACAGCUCGAAGGCAGAGUUUUUAGACAUAAACAUUAUUUAAUCUACUCCCAUUUGACUGGCUACUAUAUCCAAGAUCAACAUUAAAUUUCAAACUCUCUAUAAGUAUAGCAAACAGUUCAAGAUUCAUCCACAUUCCUUCAACUGAAACUUCGGUCACCAAAAUCUCUCAUGAUUUUUUUGUGGAAAAAACACUCCUCUAUCAAUAUGGAGGUAGGGGUGAUUCUCUCUUGAAGAAUUUAAAGUCUUUAGGGUCAAUGAGAUCUUGGUGUGAAAAUCUACUCUACUCUGUGAUACUGUGGGAUGAGAAUUUCUGAUGGAGUUCUUCAAAGAAUGGUAGGGAAAAAAUUAACAGGUGAGCAGUAAUAUUCAUGUUGAAUUUUAUUCAAAUAUGGGGGAGGAAAAAAAUCAUGUGUAAAUGAAAGGAUUAUCAGGCAGUUUAAAACGUGAGCCAAGCGUAGUCCAUAUAGUGUUGUAUACUGAGGACGUAAGAAAGUUACUGGCCAGAAUGAGAGAAAGCAGGCAAUCAUUUCAGGGCACUCUUUACCAUAAGGAUACAGAGAUAAUCAUUUUAAGUUAACUCAUGUAAUAUCUAUAAUGAAGUUUCAUCUAAAGAAUUUGCUAGAAAAGUCACACCCCUUGUUAAGAAUGUAAAUCAGGACAAUAGCCAUAAAUGUGUGCAGGGGAAGUCUUGUGGGUGUCAUCGUUCCCCUUAUAAUAUUAUUAGCAUGAAGCAGAACUGUAACUGUGGUUUCUGGGAAAUCAACUCACAGGAAAAUUAAGGAGGCUAAUGUUGAAUCUAGAUGUCAGCUACUUGUGAAGGAUUCUAAAAAUGACGCUUGAGUAUAAGGAUUACACAAAAGAGUGAUGGUUGAUUUUCUGGGUCAAGUCUAGCGAAAGUCUCAUGGAGCCACAUUUUUUUUUCCUUAUUCUUAGAUAUCCCCAAAGAGCUUUGUGAAUUCACAGUUAACUAUAGGGUAGUUUCAGCCUUGUUUUGAGGGCCCCAGGCUUCAUUUCCUACAACAUGUGCUCUGAGGGCAAAGGGUGCUUACUUGUUUUGCUCACCACCAUAGCUAAUGCCAAGAACAAAAACUAGCACAAAUGUUCAGAAACUGUUUGUAAAAUGAAUAGAUUUAUCUUUUAUUUCUCCAGAUGGCCCAGGUCUGUACUUGGUGUAUAACCUUUCCUUGGUAAACAUUUGUUGGGACAAACACCCAAUAAAGAGUUGUUUGGCUCAAAAAACAGAGUGCUGUACUUUAUAAAUUUGAUUAUAGGUCGUGAAGCAAACCUUUUCUAAAGUAGAUCGCUGACCUUUUAAAAUUAUAUAAUAAAGACACCUAUGCUUAUGCAGGGCCCUUUUUUUCUUCCCUAAUGAACUCUGUACCUUAUCUGUUGCCAGCCCCAACUUAUAAAUUUUAAGCUGAAAAAAAAUCCUUCCAAAAUGAAAUCCAUUUGUCUUAGAAGUGGGGAUACGAACAUUCAAAGAGUCACAAUGCAUUGAAACUCUGUUUCUGUGCUUUUCAAGUCAGCCAGUGGUCUCCAGAGCAUUUAUUUUCGGGUGCAGACAGUGGAAACCACAGACGUAAACAUGGCCUGGAAUAGCAGGAUCUGAACACAUUGUAGAGUGUUGUUUACAAUGUGCAUGAAACAGAAUGCCAUGCUUUUCUUGUCUCCAAAGAUAUGAACAAUUUGUGCUUAGAGGCUGUAUGCAUUAUUUUAUAACCAAGUGAAUCAAUGCAAUGCAGAGAUGGAUAAAAAUAUCUGUUGGCCCACACACAUGAAAUAAAAAUCCAAAAUGUCAAAAUAUGAUGAAUUCUAUGGGUGCUAUUGCUAGUAUUACUUUGGGAAGAUACUCAUCACUGAUUUUUCUCAUUUACUCUACACAUACUGGUUGUGUACUUUUUAAUUAUUUGUAUUCUGUCCCAUAUUUUCAAGUUCCUUGGAAAGAGCUAAGUUACAUGCAUCUUAAAUUAUAGCAAACACAAUAGUAUAGCAACAUUCAUGCAUGACAAAGGAGGAAUUUGUGCUUUAGUAUUGUAUUUCUAAUUGAUACAUUUAUAAAUAUACGGAUUUUUCUUAAGUGUAACCUAUCAAAAAAUUGAAAUGUGAUAAAAAUUUCAUUCUUUUAAAGUUUUAUUUUUAUUGUAGUCCAGGCUAGCCUGGAACAGCAAUCCAGGCUGACUUUGAAUUCAUGGAAAACUUGCCAGCAGCUUUGGCCUUCCAAGUCAUGAGUAUAUAAGCACAACCCAUACAUGGAUAAAAUGUAGGAAAAUUCUCUCUCUCUCUCUCUCUCUCUCUCUCUCUCUCUCUCUCUCUCUCCUCACAUGUACUUGUAAGUCUGUUUAUAACUUUUCCCAUUAGCUUUGGUAAUAAAAGUAAAUCUGAUAUUUAAAAGUCACACGAAACCAAAGGUGAUGAUAUAGGUAGUUAAGAGCUGAGUGUUGAAAACUGAACCUACAGUUAGUAAUCAAACACUCAACUUAUGAGCAGAGAAGAAAGUAUAACCCAAGAAGCCAAAUAAUAGGUGGGUAGAAUAAAGGAAGACCACACUGCACAAAUGAUGUCCCAAAAACCAUGAGGAAAAAGAUA
ensembl:processed_transcript Gm4117 predicted gene 4117